rnacentral:lncRNA from 1 species
GGUGGGUGACUUUCGUUUGUGAUUCUGUGUGCUUGGAGAAGCCUUAUGUAUGCUAAGGAACUUAUCUCACCAAUUUAAGGUAUGACAUCGAGUUUUUUUCCAGAUCUGUUCGUCAGACGACUUACUUGGGAAGUCGUCUCGCUGUAGACGACUUACCUUUCAGUCGUCUGGCUGUAGACGACUUACCUGGAAGUCGUCUGGUCAACGCAGAGGUUAUUUUUGCAAUUGACUUUGAAAUCUGUAACCUGAGACGACUGAAAGUUAAGUCGUCUACUAUUGUUUGGUUUCAAAAAAAAUUCCAAAGAACCUAGACGACUUACUUUUCAGUCGUCAUAGGUUAGUUUUGCAUUUGACUGGAUAAUUUCAGAAGUUUGACUUCCCGAGACGACUUACAUUUCAGUCGUCUGGCGAAAAUUAAAAUAAUAAUAUUUUUUAAAAAGUAAACGACUUACAAUUAAGUAGUCAUAGGUUAGUUUUGCAAUUAAAAAAAAAACUUCAAGAUUUAAUUAUAUACAGACGACUUAUAAUUCAGUCGUCCACCAGACGACUUAAUUGUAAGUCGUCCAGGACUUUUUUCCGAGAUUCUGGUCAAACCUCGUAAAUCCUAGACGACUUACAUUUCAGUCGUCUCGUGGACGACUGAAUUAUAAGUCGUCUGUAUAUAAUUAAAUCUUGAAGUUUUUUUUUUCAAUUGCAAAACUAACCUAUGACGACUUAACUGUAAGUCGUCUACUUUUAAAGAAAUAUUAUUAUUUUAAUUUUCACUAGACGACUGAAAUGUAAGUCGUCCAAAAAGUCAAACUUCUGAAAUAAUCCAGUCAAAUGCAAAACUAACCUCUGACGACUGAAAUGUAAGUCGUCUAGCUUUUUUGGAGUUUUUUUUUAACCAAACAAUAGUAGACGACUUAACUUUCAGUCGUCCGAAAUAACAGAUUUCAAAGUCAAUUGCAAAAAUAACCUCUGCGUUGACCAGACGACAUAUAGUUUAGUCGUCUAGACAACUUAGAUUGAAGUCGUCCGCGUCUUCUCCACUAGUUUUUAAGUCUUCUACGUUAGUUUUUGAAUAACUUGUAUUUUUAAGAGUGAUAAGUAACUUCAAGAUAUGUAAAACUCAUAUUUACAAAAUAUGUUCUCUCCCUUAGUUUUACUAAAUUUGACUAAGUUUUUCAAUGCAAACUUAUAAAAAAUAUGAAAUGCUUUGACUAGUUACUAUUAUUUGUUUCCAUCUCUUACCAACAUUCUUGUUUAUUAAGAUGAGAAAAAGGCCAUUGGAGUUUAUUAUUGCAUAUGAGAGAUCCAAAGAAAAGAAAAAGGCUACUGAAGUCUAUUAUUUCAUUGAUUUGUAAAUGUGUAAACACAUUGUUAGCACAUUUAAUACAUCUUGGAAAAUAUUAUUACUGAUUUUACAAAAAAUUCACAACUAAAAGAGUAUACAUGCAAUUUGCCCAAAAAACAAAAAAAAUUUGCCCAAAAAAGAGUAUACAUGCAAUUUACAAAACAGACCACAAACAAAACUAUUAUAGAUCAUUCAUCUACAAAGACAAGCUUGGAUUCCACUUGAGUAGACAAGACCAUAAAACUUUUAAGAAGUCCAGACGACUUCUAAGAAGUCCAGACGACUUCCAGAAAGUUCAGACGACUUUGCCAGAAGACUUUUAGGAAGUUCAGACGACUUCCAGACGACUUUACAGGAAGUCCAGACGACUUUUAGGAAGUCCAGACGACUUCCAGACGACUUCCAGACGACUAACAAGUAAGUCGUCCCAGAAGUCUUCCAGAUCUGAAAAACCUGCAUAUUAAAUCCAGAUCUGGAAAACCUGCAUAUUCAAAAACGUUCAAAUGGCUUAAAAACAGAAAAAAUGAAUGGAAGAUUAGAUAAAUCUACCUUUACAGAACAAACAAAAAUACAUAUCUAAAAAUAAAAGAUCUACCUUUAAAUUAGUGGAAGAUGAGUACCAUCUAAUUAAAAACCUGCAAAAAAAAAUAGAUUAGUAACAAAGACAUGAGACAAAAUUGAAAAAUUCAUAUAAAGUUUGGUGUUUUCAAGUCAAAGAGAUUAGAGUGGGUUUGGAGAGUUUUAGUUUGGGAAAAAAGUAAGAACUUUAUACAACAAGAAGUUACCAAAUGAAGAAAAAUCAGACAUAAGAACUUACCAAAAUGCUCAGAAAAAUCCAGACGACUUCCUAGAAGUCCAGACGACUUCCUAGAAGUCCAGACGACUUCAUGGAAGUCCAGACGACUUCCUGGAAGUCCAGACGACUUUGCCAAAAGACUUCCAAGAAGUCCAGACGACUUCCAGACGACUUCCAGACGACUUCCAGGUAAGUCGUCCCAGAAGUCUUUCAGAUCUGAAAAACCUGCACAUCAAAUCCAGAUCUGAAAAACAUGCAUAUCCAAAAACGUUCAAAUGACUUAAAAAUAAAGAAAAUGAGUGGAAGAUUAGAUAAAUCUACAUUUAUAGAACACACAAAAAUACAUAUCUAAAAUUAAUAGAUCUACCUCUAAAUUAGUGGAAGAUGAGUACCAUUUGAUUAAAAACCUGCAAAAGAGAUAGAUUAGUAAGAAAUACAUGAGACAAAACUGAAAAAUUCAUAUAAAGUUUGGUGUUUUCAAGUCAAAGAGAUUAGAGAGAGGUUGGAGAGUUUUAGAAUGAUGAACAUUACAUUUUUGUUGUAGCCAUUUGAGAGGAGGAGAGAGAAUGUGUAAAUUUUUCUUUUUAUAGGGAGACAAAAAAUCCAAUUAGAUUAAAUAUUUUUGACUCAGACGACUUCCUGGACGACUUACAUUUCAGUCGUCUGGUGAAGAAAUUAAAACAGACGACUUACAUGUAAGUUGUCCAGAAGAGUUUAAUAUUUUUAGCGGGAAAUUAAAUAUUUUUAGCGGGAAACUAAAAUAGAAGACUUCCCAGACGACUUACAAGUAAGUCGUCUCGACGACUGAAAUAUACGUCGUCCGGGUAAAUUAUUCAACAGACGACUGAAAUAUAAGUCGUCCACACCCUAAACAUAAUCCCUAAACUUAAUUAUCUAAUUAAACACUUCAUAAAACCAAAUCAAACUUGAAAAGUGUUUACUAUACACAAAAAUAAACACAUAUAGGUGAAAACUAAUUUUUGAAAAAAAUAUUUUAAUUUUUCAAAAUCUAACCCUAACAAUACAUACAAUACUACAACAUAUGUUUGCCAAACUCCUAAACCAAAGUAUUUCAUGAUUCACUACUUUCACUCAUCUAUCUUCAAAACAAAUCAAUUUUAUCAUAUCUUAAUUUAUAUUAGUUAAAACUGUUUAUAAUUACUUGAUUUUUAUUUUUUACGCAUCAAAAUAUUUUUUUACAAGAUUUAUAAAUUAUUUUUAAAAUAAACUGGUACCAGACGACUUACACUUCAGUCGUCCAGACGACUUCCAACAUCUCAGACGACUCAGACGAUUUACUGGGGCUAUAUUCGUAAAAAUGGCUUCUGUUUUUUUGUUUGGUCACAAGGGGCUGAGCUGUAAUUUCACUAGGCUUUUAGAUUAGUUUUGCAUUUGAUUCAAGUUUGGGUAUAGAUUUGGGAUUAAAAUCAAGUUGUGGGUUAGUUUUGGCAAAAACCCCUCUUUUGUUCCCUUCCUUCUCUAGAGAAGGUAUCGUUUACAAUUACAAUGUGUUCUAAAAUGAAAAAGAUAAGAGCAGACUGAUUACAGAAAGAAAAAAGAGACUAAAUAAAAUGAAGCAAUCCAAAAUAUCAGGUAGACAUUAGGUCGGCUGGAUAAAGGUGAACCAGGUUCCAAUAUAUGAGAGAGUGGUGCUAGCGUUGUUUGAUGUUUGUUGAGAAGAUAAUUUGAGCCUAGCUAUGAAGAGCAGCUAACUUAGCUCUCAACAAUGUUGUGAUUUCCUUCUUGAGUGACGAAACUGGUCUUGGUGAGCUUAGCUGAAGUCUGCUAUUUCUUUCUUUCCACACAAAAUAAGACUACCGCAUGCUAAUUCAUAUUCUUUGUAACAAAAAUGGAUGGGCAGAUUCACUAGCAAAAGAAGUAAAGACUAAAAGCUGUAUUUUCAUUUUGUUUUUAGUAGAUUUUUAUUCUUUGAGUCUGAUUUUUGGAUCUUGUAUGUGUGUCUUCGUUUACUAAGUUGUAUGUUUUCUUCCCCGAAACUUUGCUGUAUGUUUAUUUGUACAUAUAUGUGGGAAAUAUAAAGUUUCUUAGAACAUAUCUACUGAUGAUCUUAGAACUUUUCGGAGUUUUUUUUUCAAGUCCUUAGUUAAUCAUAAACGUAGUAUCAGGUCAUUUUCUUCGAGUUUUGACUCCAUUGUUAUGUUAAUAAUAUAUUUUCACUCGAUGAGUCAUGCGUGACUAUGUCAUCUAGUACAUUCACAUUGUUAAUAAAGGCUAAUUAAGUCACCGGCGGCCUAAACUUAUCGUAAAUGUUUUCAGUUACCACUACCAGCUUUUUAGCUUGUUUUUGUUGAUGAGUUUUCUUGCCUUCUUAGAAAGAGUUUUGUAGAUUUAUGAUUCUCUAAACAAAAUAAAUAGUAUUAGCCUAUUCGGUAUCUAACAGGAUUUUAUAUAGAUUAUAAUACGUGUUUUCGUUAGCAUUGACCUGAGUGUAUAAUAUCAGUGCUAGCACCCAAAUGCACGCACCUAGAAAGCUAUGUCGUUAUAUAAAUAUGCAUUUCUUUGUUCUUUUUUUAUAAUGUGAUCCCAAAGAUUUUAUAAAUUUAAAGACUAAUUUCUAAGAGGCCCGCAGAAUCCGUCUUUUUUUUUUAUAACAUCGUUUUUUAUAUUUCAUUUUGCUAUAAUCGUACAUGACCGUAUCUUUCUUUGUUCACGAUAUCUAAAAUUCGAUUGAAAAAUUCUGUGUGAUUACUAAAAUUAAAGUAACAUGAAUGAUUCAUUUAUCUUGAUUUUUUUUUCAUUAUUGCACUAGGAAGAAGAUGCAAUAUAUGGAUGAUGACGUUACAUAGAAAAAUACAUUAAACUUUUAAUUUUUUAAUUUAUUUUCAAAGACAUUAGAAAGAUGAUGUUUCAAACAUGGCUUACCCAAAAUUGAUUGUCCUCUCUGUACCGGCGCAAAUGAGAACUAAAACUGUACAGGGCAAGCAUUGAUGCAUGUUUUCUUUAACACCUAACAAAAUUUUGUAUUAGUGGAUGUCUUCAUCCUUUCUUUUUUUAACAAAAGACAGGUGGUUUUAAUCCGGUUUUACGAAGUGGGUCUUAUCGAAAAUCUUUAACCUAAUUGACUAAAUAAAAUGUUAAGAUGACUUCAUACAUGAAGUUCAAAUAAAAAAUGGUUGAACAUUGGAAGAGUUUAAAGUAAGUCGCAUUCGAAAAUCUUGUAAUCCUUAUAGAUAAAAUAAAACCUUGUUUAAUUCCUUUGGGAACAGCUCCAAGUUCAAGUGUUGGACGGAUCAUUAGGUUUUGUGUUCGUUUGGACUUACUUAACUUAGGUCGCUUCAUAAGCUUACUUAUUACUUGCACCACAAAAUAAUUAUAUGAGCAGAGGAUUAGUCAAUGAGAUGGUGGCUUCAUAAGCUUACUUAUUACUUGAUACAAUUGAAACUCACGGAGGAGGUUCUUUACUGUUGUGGUGGUAACGUGGUAUAAUGUAUUUUGUCAGUGAGAUUGGGCGAAUCUAGAACAAAAUUCAAUUGGGUGCAUUGUUGUUACAAAACUAUAAAAGUGUCACAAUGAAGAAUUGAGCUAAUUGAUUAUGGGUGCACAACCCAUUUUUUACCAUCUCAUCCAGCUAAGUUUUAAUAAUUCUAUACACGUGCCCACAUUCCCAUUGACCUGUCUACGCCCCUGGAGAUUACCACGAGGCUACAAAGUACAGACACAGACGGAGCAGGUUCUGCCUUUCCUCCUAACGGUGCUGUUCUGUCAAGUGGUUCUUCAAUUAAAGACAAACGAGCCCAGUUCUAUUGGAAGCCCAAUAAAACUACACAAAGUAAGCUCAAGAAGCAAAUAUUGUGUUGGGCUCGUUGUUAUUAUUUUAUCUUCUUCCUACAAACACAAAUGUGAUCGUUGUUCGUGCUUGGGCUGUUACAUAGUUUUUUUACAAAUUAAAAAUAAAAGAAUAAUAAGAACCAAGAUACAGCUUUUGAGUUCUGUUAACAUAGCUUAAGUCCCUCCCCGAGAUUAGAACAAACGUUGAAGUAGAUUCCACGAGCUUCUGCAGCGAAAGAUCCAAAUUGUUUUGGACGUGGAAGUAUAAUAAUAACAUACAUAAACAUGCUUUUUGCACUUGGUAUCAACCUCAGCUCUUGAAGAAGCUAAAAUUCAAUGAUCACUGUCAUUCUUUUUUUCUUUUUUUUUACUGUCCUUCUGACCAGAUGAAAUAACAUUUAUGAUUUUCUACAAUGAAAAUCUAUCCCAAAAUCAUCUAUAGAUUUGUUUAAUUCAAUCCUAACAUGGGUUUUUACCUUUUAGAAGAGAAGAAAGAUAUACUAACUAAUUUUGAUAUAUGCUUUUUAAUAGUUUUAAAUGGAAUCAAUUGACUAAUUAAUUUACUCUUCGAAAAUAAUUCUAGAUGAUUAUUCUUUUUUUUUUUAAUUGCUGAAUUCCCAAAAAAUAUGAACUAGUGUGGUCUCUUCGACAUAUCAACCGAAAGGAUAUCUUUUUGUUGGCUGCAUAGGAUUAGAGAAAACUAGAGAGGCAACCCUGAUUUCAGUUUUUGAACCGUGCAAGAAGAGGCGCCGAGGGUUAUUCAGAUAUGAUCGCCGUCUAAAGGAUAACCCCGAAGUAACGUUACUGAUCCGAGAGACCUGGCAAGCUGCUAGAGCAAAGUCUAUUUCGGAGAGGAUAGGAUUGGUGCGAGGAGCUAUAUCGAGAUGGAACAAAACGAAACAGAGCAACAGCCGCAUAGUGAUCGAGAGAAAGCGAGAGGAACUGGAAACGGCACUAACAAGUCCUCUAAACGACACAGAACUUAUCCAAAAAAUCUCCAGCGACCUGAAAGCGGCCUAUAAAUCAGAAGAAGCAUACUGGAGGCAAAGGAGUAGAUUGCUGUGGUUAAGGCUGGGCGACCGGAACUCGGGUUUCUUUCAUGCUACAACAAAAAACAGGAGACGAGCAAAUUCCUUCUCGGUGAUAGAGGACCUCGAUGGGAAUCCAGUUUAUAAGGAGGAUCAGAUUGCCAAGGUCAUAGUGCAAUAUUUUAACAACCUGUUUACCAGCACCGCAGGAGAACGAGCAGAAGUGGUAACCGCAGCUCUCCAACCGAAGGUUUCUACGGAGGAGAAUGAGAGACUCAUAAAGAUCCCAGACGCCGGGGAGAUAAGAACGGCAGUGUUCUCAAUUCAUGCUGAUAAGGCACCAGGCCCGGACGGGUUUUCAGCGGGUUUUUUCCACUCAAACUGGGACACUAUUGGACCGGAUAUCAUAGAGGAAAUCCAAGGUUUCUUUGUCACGGCGAAGCUCCCAGCGAAGAUCAAUGAUACCUUCGUCCGAUUAAUCCCAAAGGUACAUAGCCCGCAGACAGUCGCUGAAUAUAGACCGAUCGCUCUAUGCAACGUGUACUACAAGAUCAUCUCCAAGAUCCUAACAAAACGACUGCAGCCUCUCCUCUCUUCAAUCAUCUCGGAAAACCAAUCGGCCUUUGUUCCCGGGAGAGCCAUAUCGGACAAUGUUCUCAUCACCCACGAAGUUCUCCACUUCCUCCAAACUUCCAAAGCAGAGAAGAUUUGCUCAAUGGCUGUGAAAACAGACAUGAGUAAAGCAUAUGACAGGCUAGAAUGGGAGUUUAUCCAACUCGUCCUUGAAAGAUUGGGAUUCCAUCCGACAUGGAUAGAGUGGAUAAUGGAAUGUGUCUCUUCAGUUACCUACGCCUUCCUCAUCAACGGCUCGCCUAGAGGAAGAGUUAAACCGAGCCGGGGUAUCCGUCAAGGAGAUCCCCUCUCACCAUACUUGUUCAUUCUGUGUGGGGAAGUACUCUCGGGGUUGUGUAACAGAGCACAAAUAGAGGGAGAGAUGAUGGGUGUCCGAGUGGCACGAGGCAGUCCGCAAGUGAACCACCUUCUCUUCGCGGACGACACUAUGUUCUUUACUAGAGCAAAUGCGGAAAGCGCAACAGCCCUCAAGCGGAUCCUACAGCGGUAUGAAACCGCCUCAGGACAGUGCAUUAACACUGAUAAAUCGUCAGUCACUUUCUCCCGUAAAGCACCAGCAUCACUGAAAUCAAGCAUGAAGAAUAUCUUGAGCAUUCAAAAAGAGGGAGGGGUCGGAAAGUACCUUGGUUUGCCCGAGAGCUUUGGACGGAAGAAAAAAGAUUUAUUCUCGUCAAUCAUUGACAGAAUUGUGGUGAAAGCAAAGGGGUGGUCGAAUAAAUAUCUUACGACAGCGGGGAAGAUGGUGAUGCUCCAAAGUGUCCUAUCUCCCAUCCCAUCUCACGCGAUGUCUUGCUUUAAACUGCCUGUCUCACUAUGUAAGCGCAUUCAAUCAGCUUUAACUGGUUUUUGGUGGGGUGAUAAAGAUGGGAAGAGGAAAAUGGCAUGGGUCUCUUGGGAGAAAAUGACACAACCAAAGUCUGAAGGAGGCCUCGGUUUCAAAGAUUUCCAGAGCUUCAAUGAUGCGUUCUUGGCAAAACUAAGUUGGAGAUUAAUUCACAACCCGACUUGUCUCCUGAGCAGAGUCCUGAUGGGAAAAUACUUUCCGGAGACCUCGUUCCUACAGGCUACACACAAAUCAGUGGAAUCUCAUGGCUGGCAAGGACUCUUGAUUGGCAGAGACCUCAUUCUGAGCAAUGCAGGCUGGGCAGUCGGUAAUGGGAAAUCUAUACUCCUAUGGAGUGAUCCAUGGCUGAGCUGCUCGACUCAGACUAGGCCAAUGGGCCCACCUCCAAUGACCCAGCUAAACCUCACGGUUGACUGCCUCCUCCUACCUGAUGGCUCAGAGUGGAACGUGAACGAAAUAAGAAGGUUAUUGCCGCAUGAAGAGAGCAAGAUCCUAAGCCUGAAACCGAGCAAAACGGGGGCGCCGGAUAAGCUUAUCUGGUUAGGAAAUGAGUCUGGAGAGUACAGCACUAAAUCAGGCUACAGAAUGGCGCUUCGUAUUUCAAGGGAGACAAUUGAAGAACCGGAAACAGAAAACUUUGACUGGACUGCUGGAAUUUGGAAGCUCCACACAGCACCAAAAAUUAAGUUAUUCCUGUGGAAACUAUUUCGAGGAGCUCUCCCAGUUGGCGAAUGCCUAGCAAUUCGCAACAUCACGACAACACCACACUGUAAGAGGUGUAACACCCUUGAAUCUAUGAAUCAUCUUUUUCUUCACUGUGGAAUGGCACAACGGGUCUGGAAAUUGGCCCCUUUCACGCACUGCAUUGAUACAAGAGGAUUGAUAGAUUUGUCUGGUUGUUGGGAUUCCCUCUACAAAUCCACUUGCCUUCCACCUACGGGAGUAAGCUCCGGACAACUGGCCCCUUGGAUCCUCUGGUUUCUAUGGCUUGCAAGGAAUGACUACAUUUUCAACAAUAAGGAGACAACCCCAGAAGCGAUCAUGACAAAGGCGAUAGCUGCGGCCCGGGAAUGGCUGACGGAACAAGGAGACAACAAGGGCCCAACCCCUAAUCAAGGAACAAAGACUCCAGCCUGCACCAACAAUUCUGGCUCAACACUGAUACAAUCAGACGCGGCGUGGAGAGAAGAUCUCCAACUGGCGGGACUUGGCUGGACCUUUAGCGGCCAGGACGUCAGAUCAUCCUUCCUUGCUCAUUGUCAUUUCGUCAACUCUCCCAUUGUGGCUGAGGGGCUAGCGCUGAGGGAAGCUCUAGCUUGUGGUAUUGAAAAAGGCCUCCGACAGGUGCGGUGUGAAUCAGACUCUGCAAAACUGAUUACUGCAAUCAACAAAGGCUCCCCGGUGGCGGAAAUCUACGGCAUUGUCGCUGACAUUCGUUGUUUAGCUUUAGCUUUUGAUUCUAUCUCUUUUUGCUGGAUUCAGCGUAGUAGAAACAAGGACGCCGAUGCUUUGGCAAAGCAGGCCCUGUGGAAUGAAUCCAUUGUAAUAGCUCCCUCAAACAUUGGAGUUUAAAAAUGAAUGAAAAGUUGGUGUUACAAAAAAAAAAAAGAGAGGCAACCCUCAUUCUGAAAAACAUCCACCGACUUGCUCUAUCUUCUCCAUUUUCAUUAAAAGGUCGAAGCUGUCUGUGUUUAGGUUCCUGCAAUCUAUCUAAUAAUUUUGUUCUUGAAAAUGUUGGGAGUUAAAUUUUUCCUUUAAAGUUCUUAGUUAUAUAUUUAUGAUACGUAUCAACAUCAAUCCUAUGCAUCAAAUAUAUUAAGAUUCCGAAUGGUGACUGCCGUUUGAACGGUGCAGAACAAUCGGUUCAACUGCGGUACGGUUUUAACAGUUAUAAAAACAUAUAGAUAUAUGGUAUAUGUAGAGAUUUUUGUUACUGUUAACUGCGGUGUGAAGCGGGACGGUUGUAAAUAUUCGAAACCUAAUACAUAAUAUAUUUUCGUAAGAUACCGUUGUCGAUGUUAGCAGAGACAUUGUCUGAUGAUCUGAUACUGAUGACGUCAAGUGGUUCCAGUUUUACCCCGAGUUAAAACAAGUAAAAGACGUCAGCAUCAAUUACUUAACAUAUAUCUCCAUGUGACCACUUCCCUUCUCCGGUAACUCUUUCACUCUCUCAGUUGUACUUUGUCUCCUCUACGUGUGCUACACGCACCAUUGAUGUCCCCACUCAACGUGCGAUUUUCGCAAACACAUAAGGGCAUCUCCAACCCUACUCCAUUUUCAACUCCAAACAUCAUUAUGGAGUAAAAUCUUCUCCAACCCCACUCCAUUUUGGAGUUAAAAAUGGAGUAAUGGUUAAGGUUACUCCAUUUAUGGAGUAAUCUUACCCAUUACUCCAUUUUGGAGUUGAACUUUUUUUAUUUAUAAAAUGAUCCUUUGAAUCUUUAAUGUUUCUAUUUUUUACUUAAAUAAUAUUUAAAAUGAUACAAUAACAUGAAAUUGCAGAAGAUGAAAACGAGCGUGAACUUGAUGCACCAAUUGAACUUGAAAGAGAAGCUCCACCUCCAGAUAUUGAAAUUGCAGAAAAUGAAAAUGUCCGAUUUCAAAAUUUUCUUGCUCGAUUUAGGAAUAUCAAAAAUAAAGAAGCUCAUUUUUCAUUACGAAAUGCAUUAGUUGAUCAUUUGUGGGAAAAAUAUUCUAAUGCUCAUUGUUGAACCUAUAUAUAUGUUGUCUUUUUUAAUGAUUUCUUGUACUUUUUAAUAAUAAAUAUUUAAUUCAAAUAAUUUAUAUUUUAAUUAUUAUCGUAAACAUAAAAUAAUUGGGGUUAAUUGGUAAAUUUUUAUAAGUAUAAGAUUUUAUUUGCAAUUAUUAAUAAAAUAAAAAUGAAAUUAUUUAAAAAAUAUUAUUUUUGGAGUAGAAAAUGGAGUAAUACAUUGGAGUAAAACCUUACUCUAUUUUGGUGUUGCACCAUUUUGGAGUAAAAAAUGGGGUAAUACAUUGGAGAUGCUCUAAAUAGCCAAUAGUUGAGCAAUAAUUCUUUUAAUUAUCGACUAGCUAGUACAAAUUAACUAUACCCAAACCUGUAAAUUUCUAGAAAAAUUAUGAUUAAAAAGAUAAAAGCUUUACUAUUUGAUAUGUGCUAAGAUAGUUAACAACAUGCAACAAUUAACAAAACUUUUAUUUCAUGUAAGGUAGACAAUGACAUCUGCCAUACAUAUCUCUUCUUCUUCUUCUUUCUUGACAUACAUAUUAAUUACCUAAUGAAAUCUUAAGCGCUGGCAGUUAACUAUUUGUUUAUAUAGACCGAAUAGUUCUCUUGUUCAAACAAUGAUUCAAAUGAUGUUAUUAGUUAAUUACAUAGAUGGUCCUCUAAACUUUUGUUCGCACAUGUGCCAACAUAAAUUUUCAACAAGAAAAAUAUAAUAUAUAACCACUUUUUGUUGCCAGCAGAGAUCCAUAUUCAAUAUCUGUGUUUUGUCCUAUUAGCAGGCAUUUGUUAAAAACAUUUUUUUUACGUCAUGACUCGUGAGGGAUUCAGACAAUAAACAGCACGAAGUCGUAAGACUGACGAUGAUGCUGGCGUAUUACGUAUAUACCAAGCUAUAUACAAAUAUUUCGAAUCUCUCGAACAUCCAACAUGUACGCCAGAUUUCAUGGAAAACUCAAAACCAUUCGUUUUCUUCUUUGGCUUCUAUUCCUUUUUAACAAAUUGAUGUACAAUUGAUACAUAUACAAACAUUGUACACAUACAUGCUUACAUGUGUUGUUGUAAUCAGAUUCUACGUGUGAAUUUUAACGUCCGACAGCUGCGUAAAUUAUCAGAGCUCAAUAGUUUUCUAAAAUCUUUUUCAUCUUUAAUCUCUCUUCGAAUGUUCUUAAACAUUAUUCUAAAUGAUGUCCAUUCUUAGAAGCCAUAAGUUGUGUUUCAGAAGCGACCAAGCUGACCUCAAGGAAAUACAAAAAUUGACGAAAUAAUUAUAAAAUAAAAAGAAUAAAAUAUAUAAUUACCUAAUGGUUACGUCAUUAUAGCUAUAGUGACACCCAAUAUAUAUUUCCAUUUAUGGUCCUUCUCAUUUCGCGUUGACAUCAACAAAACUCCCACUUUCUCUCUAAUGAAGAAGAUGCAAGGUUUAUGGAACUUUCCUAACGACGACGUUUCGGUAGACCUGACGGUUCCUCCUACAGCACCACCACCGUUAUCCUCCUCCACCGCCUCGACGAGCCUAUCGUUCGAUGAAGAGGAGACUUCAGAGUCCAAGAUCGAACGGUUGAUAUCGGAGCAUCCGGUGCUCAUAUUCACUCGAUCCUCCUCCUGUUGCAUGUGUCACGUCAUGAAAAAGCUUCUAUCGACCGUUGGAGUCCAUCCAACAGUGAUCGAGGUCGACGAAGAAGAGAUAGCUUGCCUCGCUGUUCAAACCGCUCCGGUGCUCUUCAUCGGUGGCGCUUGUGUCGGUGGGUUCGAGUCUCUUGUGGCACUUCACCUUAGUGGUCAUCUAGUUUCUAGACUCGUCGAGGUUGGAGCUCUAUGGGCAUAAGUGUGCUAUUAUGAAAAUAUGGUAACAAAAUCCAUUGUAUAUUUCAUGCUCUACUUUUUUUCUGUUCUUGAUUAUGAAAUGAAACACAAAACUGUUUUAUUUUCCCGUUGUGUAUUUUAAUUUUAUUUUCACUAGUAUGGUUGUUUUUCUUUAGAUUUAUCACGUGUGUGAUAUCCUCCAUCAGUUGCAAAUUAUUUCUGUUUCUUCAAUUUCUAUUUCAAAUGUAAUGUUCAUGUGAAGAGAAAAUGAAUUUUGUGAUGAUUGAUCCUUCAUAAAAAUUAAGUUCAAAAAAAAAAAUCAUUCAUAAAAAUUUAAUAAUGUCUUCUUAAAUCAUUAGUUAAAAUAAAAGUACUGAUUAAGCAAUUUUUCUUGGUAAAUUCAGGGUAGCAAAAAUGAAAAGGGGUCAUUAGUACAAUGGUUUAUCGAUGAUGAUCGGUCUUCUUUAUUAAAUAAUGACCUCGAAGUUAUGAAAAUCUAUAUAGAAUCAGUUGAUUACCACGGAAUCUGACUACUAUCUUUUCCUUGAACAAUUUAGGUAUUUGAGUAUACCUGUUUAUGUAUUAGGAAUCUCUCUUUUUCUAGUAGAUUUUAUAUUGUGUGCAAUAAGAGAGUUUGGCCCAAGAAUCUUUAUAGACUUAAAAGUAGGUGUCACUCACAAGUCACAAUUAUUGCACAAUCACUGCCGUUGGAUUCUUUAAUACGUGAAACCUCCUCUAUAUAUUUUGAUUAUGAUUGAUUGGAUUUACAACUUACACAUGAUUCGUUAAUUCAUUCAUUAGUUUUGAAUCGAAAGUAAAAUUCUCAACAAUUAUCUCACAGCGAGACAACCACUCAAAUAGCUUACCUAGUUGAUAAAGUUAUUCCUAGUCAUAAAUCAUACUUACAGAUAACUUGUUUUAUGUUGAACAACAAAUUUUACAUCUCAGCCAAUAAGAAAAAUACUACCCUUAGAUAUGGGAGCUCCUCAAUGGUGGGGGUUGGUUUAGGAAAAACAAGUUCUUUAUUCUAUUUUGAAACAAGAACAAUUUGUUACGAGUUUAUUAUUAUUUCAUCUAUAUUCUUUCAUAAUAUAGUUUAUAUUUUAUUAUCAUUUGAAAUACGGUCUUUGAAGCUGUGCCGCGCUCCAACGGCAGCAACAGAACAUCACCAUUAUAGGAAGGAAGAAAAUUAAAAUAAACGGAUCAAGUUGAACAACCCCAUGAUUUCCAUCGUCUAAUGUGUUUAUUAUUGAAAAUCAGAGUAGCAAUAUCCAAUGAGAGUCGAAUGAUGUAAUGCACAAACAUUAUAUAUGACAAUGACAAUAUUAGAAAGUGAGAUACCGAAAGAAAUCGAAAUGAUUAAAGGCAACAUAAGUGAAGGUGAGGUUACAAUGGCCACAGUUUAAAGUAUACAGAAAAGACAAGUGUCUAAUUAAUCUAUGUGGUUUCUCUUUUCUAAAAUUUUUGAGACAUCUCCACCACAAAUUCUAAGAGGGGACACUGAUUAAAUUCGCAUUACUAAAAAAAUUUUUUUUCUUAUUCUUCCAAAAUCCAUGUUGAUAACAGAAACUAUAGGAUGAAACAUUGUUGCUUAUUUGGUGUACCAAAGAGCCCUAAAAAGCGUGGAAAACCUUAUUUAUUUUUCAUCUCGAAGAAAGUUUAGGUCAAAGAUACAUAAACGUAAAAAAUCUAAUGAUAACUUAUUCUGAUAGUCCAAAGGGAUGUUGUAGUCAUUACAAAGAUGGCUAAUUAAGUUUCGUUUGAAUUGAUUUGGGCUUUUCUCAUCUAAAGACGACAUAGUCACACCCUUUGCUCUAUGAUUGAAUACGUAAAGCCUAGCUUCUUCACCAAUUGCCAUUUUCGGAUAAACCCUAGACGUUAUUACACUUCUUCAUCCUCCCCCAUAGCUCUCUGUAACCAAGUGAUCGAUCUAGAAACCAAAAAAAUAUCGUCAUUCAACGGUGAAAUACUGACAAAGGUAACAUGUGUUCCAAAGAUGCAACGUAGGUUUUAAUAAUCCAAGGACCAGAGGUGACAAGAAAACAAAUAGACGAAAAUUAAUAAUCUUUAUUUAGGAAAAAUAGAUAUGUAAGAGUAUUGUUGCACAUCGGAUCAGAGAAAAAUUAGAACAUACUGAAUAAUAACCGUUGAGCUAGGAGCCAGCUUGAAAUAUGGAAGGAAGUUCGGUAAGGCUGGAAGUUUCCAUGAUUAUAAAAAAAAAACAGCUUCCAUUGUUUCUAGUUUCUCUUUAUACAGUGUAUAUACUAGAGUUUUGAUCUUGUCAAGAAAAUGUUAUAGGGUUGUGAGAAAGAUUCAGUGUAUUUAUAGUGCCAUUGCCGUUUGCUACCUCUUCGAUCUGUCCAAAGGUUGAAGCAAAGUGAAAGAAGUUUUCGAGGUAUUUGUUAAUUGUAUUUUUGCUUCAAUUAUUAAGGUUUGUGGUCAUUGGUCUUUGUUAAAUGUAUACUCGAUCGGACCAGGUAGCUCAUAUAUAUUAUUCAUUUUGUUUACGUUUUUUGUCGCAUUCAUUUUGUUUAAUUUAAAUUGUGGGAACAUUUGAAGAUAAUAAUGGGAUAAUGUACUCUUAAUUUGUUCGGUCAAUGGUCUUUUUGUUAUGAAGUGAAUUAUUCACGAUUUAUCACUAAUCUCUAAACUGUUUUACUUAAUGUUUACUUAAUAAUAGUGGUGAUACUGGCGAAGUCCUACUUGAUUACAAAAAAAUAUUGGCGAAAAGAGGCAUGCUGAUAAGCAUGAUUUUAAUAUAUAAAAAUGAAGUCGUGCAAAUUCAGUAUUAUGAUAAACACAUAACUUAGAUUUAAAAGAAGAAAAGAAAAACACACACACCAAUAUCUUGAACACAAAACACGGAUAAAUCUUAAAACAAACUCAUAAAAGUACUGGAAUCAUCUUUAGGCAGUCCAAAGAUUAUUAUUAUUAUUAGCAGCAUUGUUACUGAUAAAUUAAAGUGCGUUUAAAUUGACUUCAGCAUUUCUCAUGCUCCAAGCUUCCAUAGACGAUAUGUUCACACCCCUUGUUCCAUCAUUGAACAAGUAAAGCUUAGCUGCUUCACCAAUUGCUACUUUGGGAUACACCCUAGAAGUAAUCACAUUUCUUCCUCCUGCUCCAUAGCUCUCUAUAAUAGAGUGAUCAAUCUAUACGAAGACAAAAAAAAAUGUUAUUCAAGGGUUAAAUUGUUUAAAAUAAAAGAAGGGACUAUUGCAAAAAGGCUGAAUUCAACUCACCAAACAUCUCAAUGAUAUCUUCUCAUGUAGUGGAUCAAUGUCUAGGACUGUUCCAUGUGCAGAUUUCCUUGCGUUGUCUCUCAACGAAGACCUACAUUUCCAUUUGUUAAAAUGAAACAUCAUAUUUACCUUAGAGAAAGAAACAUUUGGUUAUAGUUUAAAUCUUACUUAUUCUCAUCGCUGCCCAUUACAACCGAAUAUCCAUUUCCACGACGAAUUAUUUUGAAGAAAAUUGCAGUUUGUUCAGAUAAAUCACUGGUAGCCAAUGCUAGCAACCCAAAAGGUCCAUAAACACAUCCAACCGAGCUGUCACGGUCGAACAAAACCGCAUCAUCAACAUGAUCAGAAUCAAGUACUUGGGGGUUGCCUUCCAGAACAGGCAGAUCAAAAGUCACUUCUACGUCAGCCUUAACAACAACAAGAGAAAAAUAAGAAGAUACACAAACAAAUAUAAGUUCUUAAUUCCUGACAAAAAAACAAUAUGCACAAACUUACUUGUGCUGCAGUGAUGCCUGAUAUUUCAAGAAUCGAGCAGCCUGCGAGAUGCGUGUUAUCCAAGCUAACUUGUUUAGUCCUAAGAUAGUUGAUUUCUUCUAUUGGCCAUUGUAUCAGCCUCUUUCCACUUGUGUCAAGCCACAUCUCCCUAGGAAGAGACUAAAGCCAAAAACAAACCAGUUCAAUAACUUUCUUUACAAGUUAUCUGUUUGACUACUUUUAAACCUAGAAAACAUUUACCAGAAGGCCAGACCAUCCUUUCUCGAGAUCAUCUUCAACGCUAUCAGUCUCUAUAACCCAUCCCCAGUUGAUCCUCCGAUUCUUAACACUGUCAAAGAAGGCCUUAGAAGCAUAGAACGUUCCAUGAUCAUACCUCAAAUCCGCAGUUGUGUUAGUGAACUCAGAAUCAGCUGCAAAGUCUUCACUCUCAGAAGAGUAUGUACCAAUAACAUAGCAAUCAUGACCUCCAAAACUCACUUUCAAGACAUGCUUUACACUAGCAUUGUUCACCGAUGUCUCUACACCUUCUUUACCGGUCAGAGAAACCGGAAAAAAAUCAGGGCAUUCCCACAUUCCUGUGUCUUGUGUCGCAAGCAAAGGAGUUGGAUACUUAGUCCAUUCCACAAAGUCUUUACUUCUGUACAAAACCGCCAUUCCUCUCUCAGUGUUUAUCUCCUUAGCUCCCACGAUAACUCUCCAUAUCCCAUCUUGUCCUUGCCACCCGGUCGUAGGGUCACGGAAACAAUCGUGAGGGACGUCGUGUGGCGGAAGCAUCACAGGAUUGUUCUUUGGCUUUACCCACUCACGAAGCAGAGGGUCGGAAGCAUCCUUAGGUUCGGCAAGAACUGUAACCUGGCGUCUGUCAAGCUCCUCGUGCUCCUCGAGUCCAGUGUAUAGAAUUACCGGUUUGCCAUCAGGGAGGAUAGUGGCGGAUCCAGACCAGCAGCUGUGUCUGUCAAAGGACUCAGUAGGAACAAAGGCUGGUUCGAGUUGGAUCCAGUUGACCAUGUCUUGUGAAACAGAGUGUCCCCAUAUCAUUAUCUCACUGAAUCGGGGAGCCAAGUUAUUGUGCUGGUAGAACAUAUGGUAGAAUCCUUUGUAAUACAUUGGCGCUGAAAACAAGAUUUAUAGAAUAAAUAUUUCAAACUUUUAGAGAUUCGUUGAAUCACAAGUUAAGAGUUUGUAGAAUUAUUAUUUACCGUUUGGAUCUUCAGAGAUUCCAAGAUGCAUCAACGUACCAAGAGUGACAUAAAAAAAAUAAGACAAACAAUUAUCUUUAUUAGUUACUUCAGAACAUCAACACUAAUAGUUAGCCGUGUUGUAUAAAAUUAAUAACCCUAUUCAGUGAUCAGUUGUACAAAGUAUAUAGUGUAUAAAUUAGCCACAGAUUGGUUUAUGAAAUAACUGUACAUUAGAGAUCUUUGACAGUGUGAUAGAUAUGAAUAUAAAUAAGAGAGAAAAAAGAAAUGUAACCGUUGAUCCAGUUUCUAUGAGGUUGGAAAUGGAAGGAAGUCCUGUUCAGCGCGCCGUUUCCGUGUUGAGCCAUUGAAGAUCUAACUCUGUGACGGGAACUGAUCCUGGGGGAUUAUGAACAAUGUGUCUUACGAUUAUAAGUGAUCUUGAGGUCUUGCCAAGAAAAUGAUUAUAGAGUCGUCAUGAAAUUUCGUUCCAUUUAUAAUGCCAAUAGCGUUGACAUUGACAACUUCUUCUUAUUUUGUCGUAUGCUCGAAGUAUCGUGCAAGAAACUCUUAAAUAGUUGUUCAUUGUUUCUCGGAAAGAAAAGAGAUAGUAGUUGUUAAUUAUGUUAAUUUAAUUUAUUCAGAUCAUUAGGCGUUUUAGUCCUUGGUAUGAAGUCAUUUCUAUUAAGCUUUUGUUUUUUUUUUUAAAUUAAAUUGUAAUUUCUAGUAUUGAGGAAACUUCGGCAAGGCGGAGUUAAGUGUAUUUUUAAUCAACUUGGUCGAUGGUUUUUAUUAAUGUAUAUUAACAAUAAAUUUCUAUUGUCUUAAGCUCGAAGUAUAAUGGGAUAAACACUGAGGAUAAUCGUUACUAAUUUUGUUUUUAUCAACACCCAUUUUAAAAAAUCAAGUGAUGGUCGAGUUUGGAUCGUUCUGAAAAAACGCUUGGCUAGAUCUGAUCUAUAUGGAAAAUAAGGACGGCAUCACUUCUCGCCUCCUUUGCUAGAUAGUAUGCUCCGCAAGUUCCUCGCUCUGGGAUAUGAGAUAAUUGUUAUUAAUUAUGAUACUUAUUUUGUUGUAACUAUUACAGGCUGAUUAUUAUUUUUUUGUUGAGUCUUUGGUCUUUGUUAAUAAAACAUUUGAAGUGAAAGGUCUUUGGAGUAAAUGUAAUUAAUCAUUUUGUAUGAUUGAGGAAGCUUCAUCAGAUCAGGCGGGGCUAAGAUAUUUUAAACCAACUUGGUCGAUGGUCUUUGUUUAUUUAUUAAAAGAAUUCUCUUUUCAAAAAGACAACCUGCGAUAUAAAGAAGGAGAAAGCAUUUCUAUGUAUACUCCUGCUCUUAAUAUUAUUAUUAACUUAUAUGUUUUGGUAAAACUCAAAUGUAUCGUGUUAGAUCUUUUUAGUUUUUUUUAAAAAAUAAAAAGUUGCUUUACAUUUUAAUAUAUAAAAAGUUCGACAAAAAAAAACAAAAUUCUAGAAAGACCAAAAAUACAUUUUCAUAAAUAUUUUCUUCAUUGUAAAUACAAACUUUUUUUUUUUUUUGAAACACAUUUAUAUUAAAAACCUUAACCGAAGUUAGGUGCAGCCAUAAUGGCAAGUUCAACAUUCAGACUCUGUUUUGCUAAGCUGUCGGCAACUGUAUUUCUCUCACGUGAGAUCCAGUUGAAAGAAAUAACAUCAAAAGAUGAAGCCAGAGACUUUAAGUCUGCUAAAAUACCAUAUAAACCAGCGAGGGAAGAUCCAGAUUUGAGAGCUUUAACAAGGAUUGCUGAGUGAGACUCACACUUGAUCUUCGACAGUCCCAACUCUUUACACUUCAAUAUUGCCUCCCGGAGGGCGAGGCCUUCAGCAGCUAGCGGUGAUGCCACAUUUCGAGCAGGAAUAGAAUAAGAGGAGGUUCUAUCAUUUAUCGCAAUUGUCCAUCCUAGCCCUGCACUCUGCUGUGUUUCACUCCAUGCUGCAUCUGACUUGACAAGGUAGACUCCGGGCGUGGACGCAGACUGACUGUAGAUCGCCGGCUUUGAAGUCUGGGUGGUACAUCCUUGACUGUGACCCCACUCUCGAGCUGAUGCAAUGGCUUUAGAAAUCACUUCCUCCACUUUGAUGAUCCUGUUGUUGAAUACGAGUUGAUUUCUUGCUACCCACAGUUGCCAUGCGAUCCAUGGAGCCAAACAGCCCAACACCACUCCCGUGGGAGGUAAAGAUUUCCUCGAGCAGAGGCUUGUCCAUAGGUUUUUUAGCUCCAAAUCUAAAGAUCCACUGAUCUCAAUAGCAGGGAACACUGGGGCAGAGUUCUAUACCUGUUGAGCAAACCCACAAUGAAGGAACAGAUGAUCUAUAGAUUCAGGUAAAUUACACCUUUUACAUUUUCCAUCUACUUGUAUAUGUCUAGCCAGCAGAGCCUCUCCCACUGGAAGAGCUUCAUGGAACGUUUUCCACAAAUGUAAAUACAAACUUACAUUGUACAUUUUUGACAGUGUAAAUCUAGCGGUAAAACUUUAAUUGUAGUCGCCGAGGGUGUUGUAGACAACGGUCACGCCUAGAGACCCGCAUCGAAACGUUAUACGCUUCCACGCGCCGAUGUCGGAGACACGUUGGAAUCGAUCUAGCAAUGAACGAAGCGACAACUCCGGUAAGUUUCAUCUCAUACAUGACCCCUCAACGUAUCCCUAAACUGUACCAUUGUGUGUUUGUUCCAUACGUUUAGACCGAUCAUUCAUGUUAGAUUGUUCAUAGAGGUUAUGUCAUAAGCUUUGAAUGUUUGUUUGAUCUGGAGUCACUUUUGUUUGAUCGUAUAAGCUUUUCUUUUAUGAGAUUUUUAUAGCUGCUUGAACAUUGUUGGUGAUCGAAUGAUGUUUAUCUAUCUUCUGUCCGUAGAGAUGCAACACAGAAGAGUUGUAAUAGAGAACAGUCAUGGUGAGAAAGUCGUGGGAGUUUUGCAUGAUACCGGCUCAACGGAGACUGUUGUCAUUUGCCAUGGCUUUCGGUCCUCAAAGGUUUUCAUCUUCUUUUAUUAAUUUAAUAGCAUUCUCAUCAGUCUUCUUCUGUAUUUGUGUUAAUGUUUUGCUCUUAUACUAUAAUCUUCUAGGAUCGGAUUCCCAUGCGGACUAUUGCCAAUGUCUUUGAAAGAGCCAUGAUCAGUUCUUUCCGGUUUGAUUUCGCUGGCAACGGGUGAAUUGCAGCUUCCUUUUCUUUCUUUCAACAAUGUAAGUGUAUGUUGCUUGCUUUACUCGUGUUAAUGGGCUUCUUCAGGGAAAGCCAAGGAUCAUUUGAGUAUGGUAACUAUCGCCGUGAAGCUGAAGAUCUUCGCUCCGUUCUUCAACACUUGCGUGGGGAGAACCGUGAAAUUUCUGCUAUCAUCGGACAUAGCAAAGGUCUAAAUAAAAACUUAAAAACUAAGGUGGAUCUAAUGAUUUUUUUUAAUAGAAAAAAGGUAAAAUAUGAAACACUGGAGCGUUGUUAUUGUUGGCAGGUGGGAGUGUGGUACUUCUGUAUGCAGCAAAGUACAAGGAUGUGAAGACUGUUGUGAAUAUCUCUGGACGGUUUUAUCUUGAAAGAGGAAUAGAAAUGCGGCUUGGUAAGGACUACUUGAAGAGAAUCAAGGAGAAUGGGUUCAUCGAUGUUAGGAACAGAAACGGUAAAAUCUUCUUGUUAGAACAUGUUGUGGCAUGUUUUUUUUUUUUUUUUUUUUUGUGCACAAACUACUUCAUUUAAAUUAAGGGUUCGUUACAAAAGCUUUCAAGGUUUGCUUUGCCACCAUAUCAGCAGCCAUUACAGAGCUUCUGUUUACCCAAUGAAAGGAAACUGAACUAAAACAUUCCGAUAGAGUUCUAAUAUCCGAGAGGAUUCCAUGCAAAUCUGAGAUGUUUGAGCCCUCUUGUAUUGCUGUCACCAAUAUCUUCGAGUCCGAUUCAAAGGAGAUUUGCUUGUAAUCCCAUAAAAGUGCCUGCUCCAUUGCUGUAAGCAUAGCUAGACCCUCCGCCACGAGGGGUGAUUUCACGUGUGUGAAAAUCUCUGAGUCUGAUCUGACUUGACCACCACUCUGAGUUGUGAAAAACCAGGCUGCUCCCGCAGCCAUCUUCUCUUCAUUCCAUGCCGCGUCCGACUUGCAGACUAUGUCAAGUCUUUGUUCCUCCAUCCUUUUAACUCUUCCAGUCUCUGUUGCCUUCGGUUGGAUUUGGGCCGCUUCCCAUUCCUUUGCCUCUACCAAUGCCUUUGUAAUCACUUCCUGCUCUGAGAAAACCUUCUCCCGAAAGAUCUUGUGGUUCCUCGCUAUCCAUAUAGUCCAGACAAUCCAGGCCGCGAUGUUACAAGUUUUAAGCCCAACUGGGGGAAGACAACUAGCUUGUUGCACCCUCUCCCAUCCCGCUGUGAAAUCUCCCACGUCAUCCAACACAACACUGUCUUUGAAAGGCGCUUUUCUCCAUACAUCCUGCGCAAAUUGACAUUUGAAAAAGACAUGCUCUAUUGUUUCAAUCUCACCACAUCGUACACAUACGCCGCUUGGGAUAAUGUUCCGCACAGCCAAGCUCUCAUUCACCGGUAGACCUCUGUGCUUUGCUUUCCAAAUUAGGAGCUUAAGCUUCAUGGGGCUUUUAAUAUCCCAGAUUUUCCUCAUCCAUUGGUAGCUUCCUUCCUCCCUGGGUGUUGGCUCCUCUGUUUUUCCUUCCACUGCGGCCUGAUAUCCUGUUUUUGUGCUAUAUACUCCCGAGCUAUGCUUCAGCCAUAUCCUCUUGUCUGGUGCUCCUUCUUUGCUUGGUUUGAUGCCAUAGAUUUGUGGGGCUGCGCUUGGUAAGGUUGCCUCAAUCUUUUCUUUGUCCCAGCUGCGAGAGUUCUCCUGAAACAGUGACUUGACUAGAUCAUCCUUGGUUUGUUCAGUGGCUGGUCCCAUAGGUCUCUCCAGCUUAUUAGUAUCUAGCCAUGGGUCAUUCCACAGUUGUAUCGAUUCUCCGUUCCCCACUGCCCAUCCUAGAUGCUUAACAAUUAGGUCUCUGCCAAUUAAAAUGCCUCUCCACCCAUGGGAACAGGAAGCUGGUGCGUGGGAAUCUAAAAACGAGCUAUCUUUGCAGUAUUUCCCCGUAAGAAUUCUCGCUAACAGGCCAUUCGGAUUGGUCAGUAUACGCCAGCUUAGCUUACCCAGCAAAGCGUCGUUGAAACACUGGAGAUCCCGUAUUCCUAAGCCCCCAUCAUGCUUGGAUCUUGUUAUUUUUGCCCAAGAUAUCCAGGACAUCUUCUUGUGGUCAUGAUCCGAGUCCCACCAAAAGCGCGUUAAUGUGGAUUGUAUCCUUUUGAUGAGAGACAUUGGCAACUUGAAGCAAGACAUCGAGUACGUCGGCAUCGCUGAGAGGACUGAUUUGAGCAUAACCAAUUUCCCCGCUGCAGAUAAGAACCGAGUCGUCCAGCCGAUAGCUUUCUGCCGUAUCCUGUCGACGAUUGAAGUGAAAAGAUCUUUUUUCCUCCGGCCAAAGUGCUCUGGCAAUCCCAAAUACUUCCCCACUCCCCCCUCCUUUUGGAUAUCUAGAUUCCUCUUCACCUUAUCCUUCAACUCCUGCGGUGCUUUGCGUGAGAAGGUAAUGGCCGAUUUCAUUUUGUUAAUCUUCUGUCCCGAGGCUUGCUCAUACUGUCUCAGUAUGUCGUUUAGUGUCUUGAUGCUUUGCUCAUUAGUCCUACAGAAGAACAUCGUGUCAUCCGCGAAGAGGAGAUGAUUAACUCGCGGACAUUCUGUUGCCACUCUUAUUCCUUGUAGAGAUCCAUCGAUUUGAGCUCUUGCACAGAGCCCGGAUAACACUUCGCUGCACAGAAUAAAUAUAUACGGUGACAACGGAUCACCUUGUCGGAUCCCUCUUUCCGGGACUACUCUCCCUUUGGCUGCGUCGUUUAUCAGGAAGGAGAAAGACACGGUCGUGACGCAUUGCAGUAUCAAUUGGAUCCAUUUCUGGUGGAAACCCAUCCUCUUAAGACACGGUCGAGACAACACCUUACCUUUUGUUCGUUGCAGGAAAGUUUGAAUACCGAGUUACUGAAGAGAGUCUAAUGGACCGUAUCACAACCAAUACUCAUGAAGCAUGUCUCUCAAUUCAUGAAAACUGCAGGUGCACUCUUGAAACCAUCCUCAUUAUCAUCAGACUAGAAUGAGUUGUCUCUUUUGGUUUCAGUAUGAUAGCUGAACGUAUGAUUCUCUUAAUGUUUCAGGGUGCUAACAGUUCAUGGAUCAAACGAUAUGAUAGUGCAUGUAACAGAAGCAUCAGAAUUCGCCAAAUACAUAAAGAAUCAUAAACUGUGUCUUAUUGAAGGAGCUGAUCAUGAGUUCACUUCUCACCAGCAUCAGCUUGCUUCUACUGUUUUAUCAUUCUUCAAACUGGAUCUCAAGAAAGCUGAUGAUGAUGUCAGUACAAGUAACCGAGACCACAUAAGAUCAGCGCUUAUGAUCAAGUCGCGAAUUUAAAUAGCUUCGUUCAAUACAGGCUGCCAAGAUUAACGUUUAGGGUGGUCUGGUUUAAGCACAUCAAAAGUUCUUUUGAUUGAUAAAGUUUUUUCAUGGCAGUUAACUAUGCACACUCAGGUUGUCUUUUAAGGGAUAAUUCAAUUUAUACAAUAAGCCAACCAUCGAUUCUUUGAUCUGGAUGUGGAAUAAAGAAAUCAGUCCUCAUUUCAAAGCACAUUUUAAAUGUCAUAAACAGAGAUGCUUGGAGAAACCUGACAGGGAUUAUCACAACCGAAGAAAGAAAAUAGUAUAUGAUAAUUCAACUAUACGUUACGUUGCAAGUUAUUAUCUCGUAGCGUUUCCACCAAACACAUGAACCUGCCAUGCCAAAAAAAAAAAACUCAGGGCAGAGGUGGUCAUCAACCAGCUUGAACCUUCUUCCCAUCUUCAAUGAAGAAAAUGGAUCUCUCAGGUACCUGGAUAUAGUCAAUGCAACAGUGAAGAGGUUUUAGGGAAAAAAAAAUCCAUUUACAGAAUUUAUUCAUACGAAAAAACAAACAAAGAAGGAUAAGUAAUGUUACGUCGGGCCAAGUGUCUGUAAUGAACUCAACGAUGUCAUAGAUUAUAUCCCCUUGAACAUCAAUCUGCUCCUUUUCAGUUGGUCCCUGAAACGCAGAAACAUAGAUAAACUCUAAGCAUAAGAGGAAGAAAAGGAAACAAACCGAGUGGUGCUGGCGCAGUUACAAAACAUAACUCAUAAUUCAUAUUUGGUUUGCAAUCUAUAAUCUAAAUACCUUGACAACUGAUGCUCCAGUGGCAAACUUCUUCCCAAGCUUUUUAGACGCGUCACUGAGUUUUAUGCCUGAUGAACAAAUUUAAAGGGUCACAAGAAUGAGGUUUUUUUUCAGCCAAUAAGAAUACAAAGAUAUCUCAACAAAGAAGCAAAUAAAAACUCACCAAACAGUUCUAGUCCUUUCACGAUGGUGAUAGACUUGCGCUUGUUGCGCACAACCUUUUCAAUAAUAACUUCUUGUCUAUCCUAUAUUACGAUCCGUAACCAUUAGAUAAUUAGACAAAAAGGGUUUACAUAAAAGAGAAAGGAAACCUAAACGAUAAUAUGUAGUCCACUGAAAUGUGCUUGGGCUAAGCAUGUCUGUUUUAUAAAGUUACAUGAAAACUUGGUAACAUUCUAGGAAGGUUACACAAAACUACUCACUUUCUUUUUUAGUUUCCCUCCCGGAAGGCGCUUCGCUUCCUCCUUCUUUGAUGUCCCUCCUAUACAUAAAUUUGAAAACAAAAAUUGAGAAAUUCAGCAGAAGAAAAAGAAAAUAGCUGAAUCCUUUCCACAAUAAGAAUCAACACAAAUCAGUUAACUCUAAAAAGAACAUUUGCUCAUUGAUGUUUAACAGAUUUCCCCAGCAAAAGAAAAAAAAAUACAGAUACUUCCAGCCACUAAGCAAUAUAUAGUUUGAACUGUUCACAGCAACGUACAGUAAAAGAUAUGUGUAACUGCAAUUUGCAAAUAAAAGUGACGCAUGCAUGGUCCGAAGGGAUAGAUACCAGACUGAGAUGAAGAGGGAGCACCAUCAGCGCCACCGGAAGAGAUUCCAACGGACUGGAGUUUGUCGGAGACAUUAUCUGCUGCCUUCUCAUUAGCCUCUGAAAUACACAAUUAAUAAUAAUCCAUUUCAAAUAUCAAUUAGUAUGUCUUCUAAAUCAGAUUAAACUCUAUCAUCAUAACCAGUAAGGAUACAAAAGAAGCGAACGACAAUAAUCCAAAAUACGUAAGUGCCGACAUGAUAUUUGAUUAAGACAUGAUAGGAAUAUCAAUCAAGUUUAAGACAAAGUGUGAGUUUCUCAGACCCUCAAAGAAUCGAGACAAUAAUAAUAAUAAUCUAAAAGUUUGGAUAUUUAAAACAGGAAUCAAUCAAUAAUCACUAGCCGACAAUCUAAAUCAAACUAGCACAGAGAAGUGGUCGAAGCUUUUUUGGAUUAGGGUUUUCAUAAAAUAAGAUGUAGGGUACCUUUGUUCAAAAAAAAAAAAAAAAAGAUGUAGGGUACCUUUGAGGAGAUCAGGAUAGAGAUCGGGUGCGUUUUCGACGAGCCAUGGCUUGCAUCUUCCGAAAUCGGGACCGAACUCGCAGUAUUCAGCUGGAAGAGAGCAAACUCCGCAGUACAAAACCUUCGCCGGCUCCAGCUUCUCUGCCAUGGAUUACGAUGUUCUUCCCUUUCCAGAAGCGAAGUUAGUGAUAUAGGGAGAGAAUCUGAUUUCUACGGCGGGAUUAUACCACCAAGACAAUGGUGUCGGAAACCGAAGACAGAAGUGAAAACGCUUAGGACAUGUGUUGGGUUCCUCAAAUUAUAUUUGGGCCUGGGCCUUUCUUCGUUUUCUCUUUCAGUUUCUUCGUUUAUGGGCUCUUCUUCAAAAUAUGGUAAAGUUGGUGAAAUAAUUAAGUUUUCAUAUGCACGUUCUCUUAAAUGAGCUGAUAUUAUGUGAGAGAUCGAUCAUAUGGUUCAACAUCUUUUUCCAUUGUGUGUCUUCAACAUUGUCUCUUUCUUUAUGCAUCUUUAAGGUAACUGUUUACGUGUUGUAUUUCACGAUCUCACAUUCAAUUCUCACUAUAACUUGUUUUGUUCUCAACUAAUGCAGUCACUGCCAUCUCCAGCUUUUUAGUACUCUAGUACUUAUAUUACAUUUAUGCUUUCUAUCCCAUCUAUACUAUUAAAGAAAAAUCUUUCUUAGGAUUAUGCCCCUGAUUUUUUAAAAAAAUUACAAAACAUACCAUUACUUUUUUUAAUAUCUUUAAUGAUCUACAGAAAUUUAAAACCCAUUCGUUAGGUCCAAAUUGAACCAUUGUUAACCCAUUAGACCAUUUUGUUUAAAAUAUAUUUAGUGAAAAUCAUUCAAAAGAUUGUUUUAUUUUUUAUACAGGGAUUAUAUAUUUAAGAGAUAAACAAAUAUAUUAAUCCAUUAUUCCAAUUUGUGUAAAAUAUCUAUACUUAAAAUCAUAAAAAGCCUAUUUUAUUUUUAUUGAGCUUAUACAUUUAAGAAAUAAACAAAUUAAUAUAUGUGAUAUAUUUAAGAAUUAAACAAACAACGGAUUUGCAGUCCUAUAUGUGUAAACCCAAUUUUACUAAUAACAAAUAAAUUAAAUUACAAUUUAUAAAAAUAAAAACCAUAUUAUAUAAUAAACUAUUCAAACACGCACUAAUUACAAUUACAAUUUAUAAAAAUAAGAUCAUAUUAGAUAAUAAAAUAUUGAAACAUAUCCUUAUCUAAUUAGAAAUAAUAUUAAAAUUGAAAAAUUGACAUUUUAAUAGAUAGAAUACCCGUAUCUAGUUCAUAACUUAAAUAAGAAACACCCAAAAGAAAAAGAAAAAAAACAAACAAAAAUCCAAAGAAAAUUUUCAGAAGGUGAAUUCUCAGGCCUUCUCUACUAAGUACUAACAACAACUCUCUCUCUGACUCUUCUCUGCAAAUUUUUAACUAAAAACUGAGAAAUAAAAUUUCUCUUGGAUCAUUCCACAAGUUAUAUAAAAUCUAGAAAAUGACCCAUAAAAUUAUCAAUCCUGCUUCCUUUAAAAACUCCACUUCCAGACCUUGACGCUAAGGCCAACAUUAUCAGUUAGUCCCUUAAGGGUCCCUAAGAAGGGGGAGGGGCCACAAAACAUCAGGACCGAGGAAAAAAAAAGAGGAAAAGCCCCUAAAUAAGGGACAAAUGAGGUGAGUCCUUGUGAGUCCUUGUACUAUUCAUUUGGGGACUUUCAUUUGGGGACCUAUUGAUAAUGUUGCCCUAAGAUCAGACUUACACUUACUUUGUUUCGAUGUCGCCACGGUCGGAGUUUUACCUUUAGGCACCGUCCCUUCGUAUCCUCGACACGUCACUUUGAUCUCCACUCCUUCGCUCUUCACCUUCCCCAUCUGCAUUUUCACCUUCGUCCGCAUCUCUAUCUCCAACCCCACGCGCGGCCUCGUCAGAUCUGUCUUCAGAUGCCGAGCUUCUUCCGGAUCCAGCUCACGCGCCGACGUAGACGUCGCGAUCACGCCGCGAAACGUCGUCUUGUUCUUGUUAUCACUAAAGAAGGCCGGGACCGUUCCGUUCGCAAGCGUCUCACCUGAUUUCGCUGACUUGACGGUGACGGCGAGGGGAUGGUAGGAGAAGGUUAGGUGCUGGUUAGGAUUCUCGGAGAGUAAGGUGAAGUUGAAGAAGGAAGAGAGGUGGGAGACGGAAGUAUCCGAGGCGGUGGUGAGGUUCACGCGGCUGAUUCGAAGCGACGGGACGGAGAACGACGGAGGACGAGGGUGGUAGAUCACGUACACGGCGGUGGCGGCUAUUGCGGCCAUGAGAGCGAGGAGAAGGAAGAUUAAGAUGGACCAGAAACAGCAGCAGCAGCAAACUCGCCGGCAGCUUGGACGAGAUUGGUGGUGGUGAUGGCGGCUGUAAGGCUGUGGGCGGUAAACCGGACGGUUAGCUGGAAUGUAGACUUGAGGUUUCUGGUUAGACAUGCCGUUGGAUGUUCCGUUACCGUUAACGGUAGUUGGAGCAGGAGGAGGAGGUGCUGAGUUAGCACCGGGUGGAACUCCGUUAGUGGCGGUUGGUGGCUUUGAAGCAGGGAAGACUCGGUCAGUCAUCUUCAGUUUAUGUCUCUGUUCAGAUCUGAGCGAGCACGCAAAACAGAUAUUAAGAUAGAGAGAGAGCGGGGUGAAGGAGAUAGAGAUAGAGAUAGAGAGAGACAACACUGAGUUUUUUUUGUGGAAUCUUUAAAUUUGAUAGGUUUUGUAUCAUUAAUUAUAAAUUAUUUUGCUUUUUAAUUGUUUUUGGUUUUCAGCUCUGAAUGUUUAUGACUUCCAUGCCAAGUCUGUGGAAUCUUCAUUGGGCGGUAAAUAAAUAGUUAAUGUAUUAAUUUCUAACUCUUUCACGUUUAGUAAAUAAUAACUGAAAGUAGACUACAUAAGUACAUACUAGUAGAAUUUGGAUGAUUGCUAUGAUUCGGAAAAUAAUGUAUUUUCUUGAGAAAUGACGGGCAGUAAUAACAUUGUAGAUAAAUGAAAAAAAUCAAAGUGUGAAAAAUAAAAUAAUGGAAACUAUAGUCCACCGACAGAUAGUGGUAGCAGUUCACCUUUUUCUCCAAAUUGAAUUUAAGUCAGUGUGCAGGGUUUAAAAAAAAUAAGUGUGUGUAGAUACUGGAGUAAUUGAUUAGGGAUCCGAAAGUUGGUAUUAAUAGGUCUGGGCAUUCGGGGUACCAAUCGGGUUUCGGUUUUAUCCAAUCGGGUUUCGGUUUUUCGGGUUUAUCAAAAUCAGCCCCAUUCGGAUUAUAUGAAAGUUCGGUUCGGGUUCUAUCGGGUUCGGAUCGGGGUUAGUAAAUCUUCAAAGAACCGGUACAAUCCAAUAUACUUUCGGGUUCGGGUCCCAAUCGGUUUUUCAGUUUAAAAGUACCUGAUUUUUACCUAUUUAAUAACCAAAACAUGAGUAAAAUCGGUUCUUCAAUUUUAAAAUACCUGAUUUGUACAUAUUGUGUAACCAAAACUUAAGUAAAAUCGAUUCAAAAAUAAAGAACAUCAAUCGUGAUCAUUCAAAAUCAAGCGAAAAGUAAACAUAUUUACUGAUAGAACGAAAACCAAAUAAAUAAAAGCAUAAAACGAAAACUAAGUUCUCAUGAAAUGAAAAACAUUGUUUAACGAAAACAAAAUCAAAAUCUAAUUAAAUACUUCAAGAUUCAACGGCCAUCUUUAACCAUCAACCUUCAUGUAAUAGAACCACCAACCUUCAUGUAAUAGAUAAGUAUUUUAGAUGUUCAAUAUUUCCUAGUGUAUUUUAGAUACAUAUUAGGAAUUGAGAUCAUGUUUGGUACAAGAUCUUUUCGAGGUUUUGAAUGUUUCGGGUUCUAUCGGAUAUCCAUUUAGAAUCGGGUUCGGUUCGGAUAAUACCCAUAACCCGAAAUACCACAAAACAAGACUCAUUCGGUAUUUACGUCGGGUUCGGAUCGGUUCGGAUUCAUUUUUAUCGGAUCGGAUUCGGUUCGGGUUUUCGGGUUCGGUUUAUUUGCCCAGCCCUAGGUAUUAACAUGUAAACCACUCUAAUUAGAAUAAGUAUUUUUCUUCAGAGAGAGUAAAUCCCAAGUCAAUUAUUAUUUCAACGCCUCAUCGGCAAUGCUGCUCUGAUUUCAAUUAUGUUAAUCCUUUAUUUUCGUGCUCUCAGUUGCCAAGAUUAUUAAAUACAGUACUAAUUCAAUAGCUUGAACUAUACUGUAGUAGUUAAAUUCUAUCCAAUAUUUUAUCCUUUACCAACCCGCGAGUGUGUUCUUCAAAAUGUCUGAAGUCUGAACAGAUUAUGGAAACAUCAUACAUCCAAUAACAAAUGUCAAAUAGUAUUGUUUACUCUAAUUAAUAACAAGUGGCAAAAUACUGUUUUCUGCUCUUGAUCAAUACUACUAAUACUAGAAUGUUGGUUAUGGAAAGUUUGGGCCUUAUAUUUUGUUUCACGUUCUCUACGGCUCUUGGAUGAAAGCGUUUGUUGAGUGCAACAGAUCAAUCGUAACCCCAUGGAGUUCUCAAUAUAAAAUUUUCAAAAUACAUAUUUAUAUAUGUAUGUAUAAUAAAUAUUAGUAUUUAAUUGUGUAUAAUUUUAAAAUAGCACUCAACAAACGUUUUUACACAACAUGCAAUAAAAAACUCGUUUCAAAAACCUGCCCUGUAAACCGUACUACUCGUUUCCUCUUUAACGAGAACUAAGAAGCAUCUCUCCUUUUUUUUUUUUGUCACAAGAAGCAUCUCUCCUACAAAUAGUUUACAAAAGAUGGGUAUUCACGUCAAAUAUUUAUGUUAUUGCGCCGUGAUGAUGGAUUCUCAAGAUACUUGUCACUGCUCAUAUGAUAUGACAGAACAAAGGAAGAAGUGGAAAAGACAUGUGUGACUGUAAACUCAGCUACUUUUGUUUUACUGAAACAUGGUUCUUCAGAUAUAGAGAUACAGAGCAUAGUGAAUCAGAUACGCACAAUACAAAAGAUCAAACAACAACUAAAACUUAUAAUGUGAUAAUCUGUCUGAUGCGAAAACAAAAAAUAUUUGGAAUCAUCUGAAAUUAUUUUAAUCCAACCUUCUUUCUUUGCAGGCCUUCUACUUCUAGUUUGGUUGGUUGAUUUUCUUCUUUGAGAUUUUUCCCUUAGGUUUAAGAAAGCUAUACAAAAUAGGGAAUAAACAAUACAUAAUUAAUUGAUUCACUGAGACAAAUCUAGUAUAUAGUUUUAGUUUAAAAAAAAAAAACAGUCGAGAAGAUUACCUCUUUAACGACGUGUGGGGCUUAUUCUUCUGCGUUUGGUUCGGCCAAAACGGUUGAUAAACCACUCUGGUUUGUAGGAAACCACUAUGUAUCCCAUCGUGAAUCCAAAUGCAAUACCAGGUAUGAAACCAAUUGCAGCUGCUAUCCAACUUAUCACCUCCUCUUGGCCAUCUUCUUCUUCUUCCUUCGACAAUUCAGACGGUUGUGAUGUUUUCCCGUGAAUAUCUACACAAGCUUGAUUAAGUGAAGGGCCAUAAAGUCCCGGGUUGUCCUUGAAAGAACUGCAUGGCUGCGUUCGAAAUUGAGUGCCCCCUGGCACUAGUCCCACAAGCUGGUUAUGAGAGAAGUUCAUGUAAGCAAGGUAGGAGAGGUUCCCUAGCUCUUGUGGAAUUUCUCCCGUAAGCUUGUUUCUGGAAAGGUCCAGUGACUCGAGAGACGAGAGGUUCCCCACAGACGACGGGAUGUGGCCGGUGAAAGCAUUGCCUGAUAAGUUGAGCACAAGGAGCUCUUUCAACAAACCGAUGGAAGAUGGAAUCACUCCUUCAAAUUCGUUCUCCGAAAAGUCUAGCGCUGUGUAGAUAUAUAAGAUACGUACCAGCUCCAUCUCUACACCUUUGUUCAUCAAAACCAUCGAAUCAAAAUAAUAGGCUGUACUCAUAUAGUUUCCGUUAGAUUGAUCUCCAAUAGAGUGCAUUGCUGUCCAAUUCACAAAGAAGUCCGAUGGCAACGUUCCGUUGAACCGAUUAUGCGAUAUAUCGAUGAUCCGCAGUUUAGAAAACCGAGUUUGAUGUACUGGUCCAUGGAAUGCAUUGGAGCGAAGGACAAGAACUUGUAGCUCGGGGAGAGAACUCAACCAGGAUGGAAACGUGUCGUUGAAUCUGUUGCUUUCCACAUUCAAAACUUCAAGAAAAGAGUUAGCGAUCAAAGAUCUCGGAAGCUUUCCAACCAGUUUGUUAUGACCGAUGUCCAAAGACUUUAGACCUCUUGAUAUAAUCUUUGGAAGACGUCCGCUUAGACAGUUGUCUCUAAGAUUUAGAGCUUCAAGGACACUACUACUGAACUUUCCGACACAACGUGGGAAUGAACCGUUGAAUCUGUUGCUAGAUAAAUCGAGAAUGAUUAGAGAGUGCAACUCACAUAUGAAACUGGGGAUCCCGCCCGUGAAAUUGUUGUUGGCGCCGGAAAAGUAAAACAGAGAAGAUGGUUGCAGGAGUUUUUCCGGACUCUCGAAACUGACGAAAGUGUUGUUGGAAAGAUCCAGAUAUUGAAGAGUUGAUAGCUCCCAUAACCAUCCAGGGACUUGACCUUUGAUUUUGUUGUUGGAAAUGUCUAGUCUCCACAUGUUGUGUUGAGUUCGUAUGAACCCUGGAAACUCGGUGGUGAUUCCGCAUCCUGACAAGUACAGAUCGCUUAAUAACGGAGGAUCUGGAACUGAACUUCGCUUUUCAUACGUAACGUGGUUUCCCGAGAGAUUCAGAGAUUUUAGUGACUUGAAAGAUGAUAAGAUAGCAUUCAAGUCAAACGUAGUGGUGGUGUUCAAGUCGGAGAUGUCGAGUUCUACGAGUGACUUGAGAUUCCAGAGAAUGCUAAGGUCAAGUGCUAAGCCUUGGGUGUUGAGAUGCGAAAGGUCAAGUGUAUCAAGGUUGACUAAUUUGGAGAUGGAUCUGGGAAUCGAUCCCACGAAGUUGUUAUUCCCGAGUAGUAGUUGCAUUAGCUUUGAUGAUGAAGAUACGUUCCCAAAAUCAAGUGUACCGUUUAGUUGGUUACCUUCCAAAGUAACGUAAAGCAAAGAAGGGAUGCUAAAGAGGGAAGAAGGAAGAGUUCCAGUUAAAGCGUUACCACCUAUGUAAAAGGCCACCAAGUUGGAGAGUGAGCUUAUGUUAGGUGGAAGCAUGCCUGUGAACUGGUUGUCAUAGAGUGAUAAAGAUAACAAUUUUGUUAGAUUUAGUAGCGUCGUAACAGGAAAGUUACCACUAAGCUCGUUGUCUGCAGCAUAUAAGCCGGUGAGAUGUUUCAAUCUGCCAAAAGAAGAUGGGAUUUUACCAAUAAGUUUGUUCUGGGAGAGAUCGAGAAUGGUGAGGUUAGAAAGGUUUCCAAGUGAAGAUGGGAUUUCACCAUUAAAAGCAUUUUUUGAAAGAUCAAGAAAGGUUAGCUUAGAAAGAUUUCCAAGCGAAGAUGGAAUGUUACCACUGAAAUAAUUGUCUGAAAGGUCGAGAGCUUGUAAAAAAGGAAGACUUUGAAGCUUCAAAAUAGUGUUUUUGGAAUUGAGCUCGCCAUGGAUGCAGUUGCCACCAAGGUUCAGCUCAAUCACAUCCCCAAAAGUGGCAUCACAUGCGAUACCAUCCCAAGAACAGCAGUCGCUGUUAUUCACCCAUGACACCGUCCAGCCGGAACAAGGCUUCUGAAUCUGGAACUCGUAGAAGUAUUACAAAGAGACCUAAACAAAUAGAAGAAUGUAAUAAGUUUGCCCACGUUACACGUAGCAUUAAUAAAUGAGUUUACGACGUAAACUUUACGACUUGACUUUUCUUUGGGGUUUCUUCCUGGGCUCAUCACUUAAAUGACUCGUCACAAAUUACAGCAGACCAACGGUUCAACUAACCACCACCACUCCAAGUCAUAUCAGCGGUUAUCCAAAACCGGACCCGACAAAGCCACGUGUAACUUAACUCUUUGACAAAACCCUAGUUUCAGCGCCACUGUUUCAGUCUCACUUCCAAACAACUCACAAUCUCUCCACCAGACAUGGCGUCAUCUACUCAGCUCCUCUCCCAACCUCCAUCUCUCCGCGGAAACCUAAACCGAUACCAAUCCUCCCUCCCAAGAAUCUCAAUUCUGUCUCUCAAGUCCACCUCGAAACCACUUAACCGCCUCUCCGUCAAAGCCACCGCCGCCGCAUCCCAAAACUCGGUGAAAACCCCGACGAAGGAUGCUGCGUUCAAGCACUGUUUCAAGAAAUCCUCAGAUGGGUUCCUCUACUGCGAGGGAACUAAGGUUGAGGAUAUCAUGGAGAGCGUCGAGAGAAGACCUUUUUACUUGUACAGCAAGCCUCAGAUCACGAGGAACGUCGAGGCUUACAAAGAGGCCUUGGAAGGUGUGAGGUCCGUCAUUGGCUACGCUAUUAAAGCUAAUAACAACCUCAAGAUUCUGGAGCAUUUGAGGAGUAAAGGAUGUGGUGCUGUCCUCGUUAGUGGGAACGAGCUCAGGCUUGCUCUUCUCGCUGGUUUCGAUCCAACAAAGUAAACAUUAUUGUUAUAGAUUGUUUGAGUUGGCCUAGUGGCUGUUGUGAUAGUUGUUGAUUAUGUAUUUGCUUUAUAAAUGAAUAGGUGUAUUUUCAAUGGAAAUGGGAAGCUGUUGGAGGAUUUAGUUUUAGCUGCUCAAGAAGGAGUUUUUGUAAAUGUUGAUAGUGAGUUUGACUUGGAGAAUAUUGUGGAAGCUUCGAGAAUCUCUGGUAAGCAGGUCAAUGUUCUGCUGCGUAUCAAUCCUGAUGUGGAUCCUCAGGUAUGGUUUCUUUGUUAGCAUAAUAGAUUUUUCUACAGAGAUAUGGAUAUGAGUGAGUUUUUUUUUUCUUCAGGUGCAUCCAUAUGUAGCUACGGGGAACAAGAACUCAAAGUUUGGUAUCAGGAACGAGAAGCUUCAGUGGUUUCUCGAUGAGGUGAAGGCUCAUCCCAAUGAGCUCAAGCUAGUUGGAGCUCAUUGCCAUCUUGGCUCCACCAUUACAAAGGUGGAUAUAUUCAGAGAUGCUGCGGUUCUCAUGGUGGAGUACAUUGAUGAGAUCAGGCGUCAAGGGUUUGAAGUUAGUUACUUGAACAUUGGUGGUGGUUUAGGGAUUGAUUAUUACCAUGCCGGUGCUGUCCUUCCUACACCUAUGGAUCUCAUCAACACAGUAAGAACAACAUCUCAGAGACUCUUUCUUUCAUUUUGGUAGAAUUUUUACAAUCUUUUGAUGUAUUGUUCCAGGUAAGAGAGCUUGUUCUGUCACGAGACUUGAAUCUAAUAAUCGAGCCAGGGAGGUCGUUGAUUGCAAACACGUGCUGUUUCGUCAACCAUGUAACCGGUGUGAAGACAAAUGGAACUAAAAACUUUAUUGUGAUCGAUGGAAGUAUGGCUGAGCUAAUCCGUCCCAGUCUUUAUGAUGCCUAUCAGGUAAUAAAAUCAUAUAUUUUUGUUACCUCCUUGGGAGUUAUAGCUAAACAUCUUCUUGUUUCUUAUAAUACAACAGCACAUUGAGUUGGUCUCUCCUCCAGCACCUGAAGCAGAGGUUUCCAAAUUCGACGUAGUGGGUCCUGUUUGUGAAUCUGCUGAUUUCUUGGGCAAAGACAGAGAGCUUCCCACUCCUCCAAAGGUGAUAGAUAUAAGGAUCUGAUUCUGUUUGAAAGCUCAAGAAAUAAUGUGGAAUCUAAUGAUUUAAUUCUAUUGGUUACAGGGAGCUGGUCUAGUGGUUCAUGAUGCUGGUGCAUACUGUAUGAGCAUGGCUUCCACUUACAAUCUCAAGAUGCGUCCUCCAGAAUACUGGGUAAUUCACACAUUUUCUUCUUGUUUUCUGGAGAAAUCACUAUUAGAGUUUAUGAUAUGAAUUUUAAACAUUAGAGUGCUUUCUGUUUGGAGGAAAAUUGAUGAAUGUGCUGUUUUUUGUGCAGGUUGAAGAUGAUGGAUCGAUCACUAAGAUCAGGCAUGCUGAGACAUUCGAAGACCAUUUGCGUUUCUUCAACGGUCUAUAGAUUUUCAUUCAUCAUUGUUUGUUGCUAUCUCCAUUCACUUCUGUAAUGCUAUUGCUGUGUUAGAUUUUCAUGUUUUACUUGUUAAACCCAAAGUCUUCAAAUAAGGUGAUGAAUAAGAAAAAUAACACAUUUCAAUACAGUAAAAAGAAAGUGAGUCCAUUGUAUUUAAACUAAACUCAAAAGCUAAAUCAAAUUUAUUAGUAAAAGCCAACAAAAUUUACCUAAUAAUCCAACAAAAUCUGCUGUCAAGGAUCUGAAUUACAAAAAAAAUAGAGGGAAAGAGCAGUCAUCAAUGGAUGUCAAGGAUGGCCUUUGAGUUCACUUAAUCUGCUUUUGGUUUCGUCAUCACACACAAGAAUAAAGAAUGUCUCAGGUCUCAAGGAAGUCAAAGAUCAAAGAAAGAACUAAAGAGACGGUUAGAAGAAGCUACCUCGGAAACCGAAUGCUUCUGUACAAAAGCAUAACGGUAAGUAAAACCAUAGCCAAUGCUGAACACAAAUGUCCAAGCGAAUGGCCACUAAUUGUAUAUCCAUUAAAAUUGUAUAUUUUGCUGUCUGCAAGUCCUUCGAUCUUGGAAACAGCGUGAGCAGCUGCAUUCACAACGAAUCACAUAUCAGAAGAGAGCGGAUUCUCUAACUCAAAAGUGUUUUUUUUGAGUAACAAACCUGUUGCCAAGAGCCAGAACCUAGAGUGAGUGUACUUAGGAGGUAACAAAACGGUCAUGACGGGAAUCACCAGGCAUGGAAUCAACUGGAACGUGAGGCAUAACCGGAGAUCAUUAAACACUCUGCCAUCAACUAAAACACAUAUAAUAACUUCAAUCUGAACCUGCCUAAAAAUCAUUAACCCAUAUAUACAAGAAGGUAAUGUUUUUUUUUCUGUUAUGAUGUUACCUGGCGUAAGCAACGCUGAAAACUGAUAUGAACAGAAGCAAGACGAGGCAACUCAAUCCUACUCUCUCCCCCGCUCUCUCAACCAAAAAACUAGAGAAAAGCGACGAAUACGCAAUCAAUAUCUGCAAUAUACCGUCAUUAAUCAAGAAACAGCUCUUCAUAACCAACCAUUAAAGCAAAAAGAACGACUUAAUUUAAUCAUUCAACUUUACAGCUAAAAAAUCUCUAAGAAGGUUCGUCUACGCUUCAGCUAUAAGAAGAUUCUAGUCGUUUUUUUGUACAAUGUGCUUGUACAAACAAACCAAGAAAACUAAGCUAUUCAUAGAAUCUGCAAUCAUCUAAGAGUCUUUGCAUAGCUAGAGCUAAGCCGUGCUUAAUCAAUAUCUACAACUACCAGUCGUUAAUCAAGAAGCAGCUAUGCCUAAGGUAAAGAAGACUCAUUCCAUAGACUAAAAAGAAGAUACUAAAGCGAGUGAUUAGUGAGAGGACGAACAGGCAAAGUGUCCCAGACGAUUCUGUUGUCAUCAGGUUUGAGAUGGUAAUAAGCAGAGCCAAAGGCCAAGCUUGAAACGCUUGCGUAGAACAGUGUCCAUCCCCAGAUCUCACCUUUCAAACUGCAUUUAAUUACAUAAUUGAGCUUAUCAUAAGCAAUCAAAAAAACAAAGAUGUUAAACAUUAAUAAGAACUCAGAAAUAGAAAGAGAGAGAGAGGGAAGUCAACCUGAUAUUAAAGAAACUGCCUCCAAGGCAAAGAACAAAACCAAGAACACCAAUAAUAAGAAAAGGAAAGUUGGUCAUGACAUUCAAUGUAUUUGGCACUCCUGCUCAUUAACCAACACAAAACACUUGUCUUUAUUACACACAUGCACAUAUAGAGAGAUAGAAACAAGAGAGAGAGAGUGAGUACCCAUGAAAUUGCGUUUAUCAGCGAAGACAUGGUGUCUGAAGGAAUGAAGAGGAACUUUGGGAGUGAAGAACAUUAAGAUUAGCCAGCAUAUUAACAACGAUCCAACCAAAAUUCGUUUCCUUUUCCAUGUCCCGAUCUGUUGAUUCGUCAACCACACCAUCAAAACCUCUCUCUUUCUCUCUAAAGGUCCAACCUUUUUUUUUUGUUUGUUUACGAAAAGUGUUAUAUAACUUUUUUUUUUCUUUCUCUCGGUGUCUGAUUAAUCUUCCAGGUUAAGAAAAGAUGGUAAGAUCUGCUGAGUGUCGCUUUCUUUCUUUCAAAAUUUUCGAUUUGAACAACGUGCGGCGAAUCUCUUUCUUUCUUUCUUUUUUUUUUUUCCUUGAUUCGGACGUGCUUGACGAUGAUCAAUUUCUAUUGUAUGUUUCUCGAAGUUGACGAUGACUAUCAAAACGUCGCCGUCUUAAAUGUUUUUCGGUGUAAUUUGCAAUCUAACUCCUUGCGUUUCUAGUAUGUUAUUAUAAACAACUCAGUACUUGUGAAACCAAUCAAUCCGAACCAAUGUCUCAAUGCUUGGUAGCAGUUUCUCCACACUUAAGUUGAUGUGUUGCGUGUUUGGUAACAAAUCUACAGCAUCAUGAAUGACAUGAAACAAUAUUCCAACAUUAUAGAACCCAUGAAAUUAAAGACCUUCCUAUAUAUAUAGAGAGGACUCAACAGAAUCUAUAAAAAGAAUUAUUUUAUUCAGAGAUAUAAUUAAUACUCCAAUAACCUAUAACGUAUGCGCAGCUUCUAUAUUAGGUAAACCAGAAAGUUAAUAUGACAUGGUCUCUCUCCUCGAACAGGCGAUGUUGUCAUCAUUUUCCGGCCUACUCACUGAAUGCAUGGGUUUUGUUUUAAAAUCGAAAACUGUCGAGGUGCUAAUAAGAACAUAUAAAAAUACGAGGGCACUAAAUUGCAAAUUUUAAUUAAUUAUGAGUAUACUAUAUUCGUCUCUACAGAAAAUAUUGUACUCUUUAUAUUUCCGGAGAGAGAGAGAGAGAAGACGAAGAGAGCUGAAAUCGUUUUGAUCGGAGGUACAGCCUUUUCCGAUCAGCUUUACUGUCUCUAGGGUUAUUUUUUUGGGGGUUCCCUCUCCGUUUCUUCUUCUCUCUCAGCUCGAGUUUUCAGUGAUAGAGUCUGGUUCCGGAAGCUUCGUUGGAAAAUUUAACCAGUCUUUCUCCUUUGUUGCCGAGAUUUUUUGCGGAGAAAGCGGAAACUAAUCGUCUUUUCAGUCAAAACCUUUCUUUUUCAACAGAAUUUGAACUGUCAUCUGUUUUGUUAGAAAAAUCCCUAGAAAAAUUGAAAAUUUCGAUUUCGUGGGUUUUGGUUUUGGAUUCCGGUUCGGUUCUGUAGAUAAAAUAAAAAUAUUGAUUUCUGUCACUUUCUGCGAGCGGGAAGAUUUCAAAUUAGCUUCUUUUGGGCUCCAAAAUUUAAUUUUAAAAAAAAAAAAUCUCGUGUGCUUGUUAUUUCAUCUAGAGCUUGCUUACUUGCUCCUUUCUAAUCCCAGAUCUGUUUUUUUUUUCUUUCUCCAGAUAAUCCUUGUGUGUGUGUCUUGAGCUAUAGCUUCUGCUCGAGAUCUGAUCUAGCUCCGGCUCCGCUCGGUAGCUACAGAGUGAAAGAGAGUUCUCCCACAAGGUAAAAGCUAAAACACAAUCUCUCUCUCGGUGUAAAGUUUGGAUCUUUACAACUCUAAUUUUAGAUGUGUAAUUACAUUAAUGUUAAAUAGGCUUUUUUAAAAUGGAAGACGAUGAUGGCUCUCCUUCUUCUCCCGAUUUGGAUGCACAGAGCCCUUACGAACGUUUGAUUGCUCUAACUCCAAGCUCCGCUGAUUCACAUUGUAACUUGGAUUCAGUUUCCGCUGUUUAUCUAGCGAUGAAGAGCUCGAAGCUGGAGUGCGUCGAAGAGCGUGGCCAAGAUUGCCUUAUCACCUCCGUAUGCAACGUGGAGGACGAAGAGGAGGAAGAGUUCGACGAGUUUGAUCCUUAUCUCUUCAUCAAGAACCUCCCCAACUUGUCCUCCGUUGUCCCUACUUUCAGACCCGUCUUGCUUCCUAAACAGACCCGAAGCUGCCCUCCCAUCUCCCUAGUCCUAGACCUCGAUGGUAAGGCUUACUUGAUUUGUUUUAUUUUAUGUUAUUUUUGUAACAAUUUCUCUUUUUUUUAUUUGCAUAGAAACUCUUGUGCACUCUAGUCUAGAACCGUGUGGUGAGGUGGAUUUCACAUUCACUGUACAUUUCAAUGAAGAGGAGCAUAUGGUUUAUGUGCGGUGCCGUCCUCACCUCAAAGAGUUUAUGGAGAGAGUGUCUCGUCUCUUUGAGGUUAUUAUAUUUACCGCUAGCCAAAGUAUCUACGCCGAGCAGCUUCUGAACGUGCUUGACCCUAAGAGGAAGCUUUUUCGCCAUAGAGUGUACCGUGACUCGUGUGUUUUCUUUGACGGUAACUACCUUAAGGAUUUGUCUGUCCUCGGACGUGAUUUGUCUCGUGUUAUCAUCGUCGAUAACUCCCCACAGGUAUUAAAUAUCAUCCCUCUACGCAACAUUAUUUAUCAGUUAUUAUAGUUUAAAGCAAAGUAUAAUGUUAUCAAUUAACAUUUGUUGUUGUGCAAUGUUGUAGGCGUUUGGGUUCCAAGUGGAGAAUGGGGUGCCAAUAGAGAGCUGGUUUGAUGACCCCUCAGAUAAAGAGCUCCUUCACUUGCUGCCGUUUCUAGAAAGCUUAAUAGGAGCCGAAGAUGUAAGGCCGAUGAUAGCCAAGAAAUUCAAUCUAAGGGAAAAGAUUGAUGCAGCUGUAGCUGCACCUGAGUAUCCUGCAGAGGCUGGAGAUCCUUUCGAAAGGUAAAGUCUCCCAAGCUAUAAGCUGGCAUAAGAGGAGACGAGUUUCUCUUUGGGAGAAUAUGCUUUGGAAAGCUUAAUGGAAGGUUCUCUUCCUAUUGAGUCUGGAGGGGGAUCAGAAGCUGGAAGAUAUAUAUAUCGCAAAUGUUGUUUUCUUAUUAGUUUAAAGAACUUGGUAUACAAAGAAUAAUAGCCUGUAAACAGUUUUUAGUUGCAGAAUAAUUUAUAUUUGGCUCUCUUUUAUUUUAUUGUUUUCUGGCCUAUUUAUUACCCUCACACAUAAAUAGUCACUACAAGACACAUUACAUUUACUGAUUUACAUAGCCUGUAAAGGAGUUUAAGGGUCUAAUGACAUAAAAUAUCUGAAUGUUGUUGUGUCACACCUCGUGGAUAAUUGUGAUUAGAAUAGUAAACUAGUUUUUCUCCAUUCUGACAGAGUUCUCCAUACUGCUCUUUUACAAUUCGUGAAUGGAUCUUGACAUCUUGUUGUCUGCUAGUUUAAGUUCUUGUCCUCGUUUAUACACGAAGUAAUGCUUUACUAAUCAUGAUGUUCUCUCUUGUGAAUUGUUUUAAUAUUCUUCUUCUCGACUUAAUGUGUCAGACUUUCAUGAUUCUAUACAGGGUUUAAAACCGAUGCAAGUCGUUGGAGCGGUGGGAUUCCAGAAUCGUCGCCUUGAAAUCCUAGAUGAUAUUGAUCCAACGGUCGCAUAGAAAAUCCUGUGUAGCAAGUAGCUGUAUGAUAGUAUCAAUCAAUGUUCCGAACUAGUACUCCGAACCCUGUGUGUUCAGCUAGCUUGUAGUGGUUUUAAAAUUACUAUAGAACCACAGUUGGUUAUAGAUGGAAGCCCUAUUUAGAACCCCCCUCUUUGUAACUAGUAUGUUAUUUUUGCUACUUGUAACGACAAAAAUAGGUGAAUGAACCAGAGAAAAAGAAGAAGAUGAAAAGAAUACAAUAAGCCUACGGAGUUGGUAAAUGUAAAAACAUGUGGGGAUAUAACUUCCAAAGGAAAUAUAGAAAUGUUUUAAAAAUAAAGCAAACGAGUUAUGCCUUAACAGAAGUUUGUUACUUUGUUAGACUUGUCACUACCACUUCCGUUUUCUGUUGCUUGCUAUUUAAACAAACCACUUCACCCGUUUAUAUAUAAACAAGCCCCUAAACCAACAUUUUUUAAAAGACAGAACAGAGCAAUGGAGUUCAGAAUCCGAUUAACCACAACAGUCACGUGGUGCCUUCUCAUCGCGUCAGCAUGUGUUCUAACCACAACAUCAGCAGCCCGGUUCGAAGUAAGAAACGAGAUCACAAAACACCAGGGACGAAACCGAAGCCUCACCGUCACCUGCUGGUCGACUACUAACAAAUUAGGCAAUCAAAAUCUCAAACCGGGCGAAUCCAGAAGCUGGUCCUUCAAGCCAGUGUACAUCAAAAUACCGUUCCUCUACACAUACUUUCAGUGCACCUUCUUCACCUCCUUUGGCUCGCCUAAUGGCCAGACCGCGACGGUUUUCGCAGGCGAGAGGAAGUUCAGCUGGCAGUGUGAUAAUCCGGAUGAGGAAGAGUGCAUUUGGGUGGUGAAGAGAGAAGGGUUAUAUCUUAGGAAGAUCUCAAGGGAUCAUAAAGGAGAAAGGCUUUAUGAAGAUGAAUUGAGACUGUCUUGGAUCGGUGGUACUAACUACUAUCCGGUUAAAUAGCAUCCCUAACCUUAUUUAAAAUCAAAUACAUGCAAUGCGUGGAACUAUCCUUAGUAUAUAUAUAUAUAGCAACGACCAACAAGGUUAAAAUCCAUGUUUUCUUGUGUAUGAAACUGGAUAACAAGAUGAGGAAAUUAGAAGAAAAAUAAACCUUUUUUUUUCAUUUUUUCCCUUUUAUGUAAAAGUUGAGAUCAAUCCACAAUCAACUCCAAAAGUGGAAAGAGUAUGUUAUUCAACAAUAAAAAUACCGUUUUUGUUUUUAAGCUCCAUAUUUUGGGGCCUUCCAAAGUUUGAAAGCAACUUCGUGGAUGAACCGAUCAGCAGGUAUAACAAGGCUUCCAGAGAGCUACAAUGGACAAAAAAAGGUUCAGACAAGCCAUGCCUUAUAUAACGAAGGAACUUGCGUUAAGUUAGUAAAUCAUAUACCUUUUUCAGAGCUUCAAAAGAUAAUGUAUCAACCAAGUCUUUCCGUGUUACUGCAUCUUGCCACUGAGCUACCAACAUAGGGCAGUAGUCCCUGUGUGUCACGAACGAAACGAUAAACUUCAGAAAAAGUUUUAAUCAGAUUCUUAUGGGUUUGACCACCAAAAAAAGAAUAUCGAGUCUCUUACCGAACAUUAUCUCGUGUCUUUUCACCUCGCAUGGUGUAGCUCUGACGCGGGACUAGUCCUUGAAAUGCCGGGUUAAUACCUUCUUGUGGAGUCUUCUUGACAUUAAAAUCUGAAACAUCCUUGUCUGUGACGGAACCAUAGCUGAGAACAAGAGAGAGAUGCAAGCGAGGUGCAAUCUCUGAACCAGGCUGAGACAUUCUCAUAAUACUACCAAUCAAAGAGUUGAUUGUUCUCACGUUAUCACCACCUAUAUGCACAAAAACGGAGUCGUAUAGGCUCACAUCCAAGCACUUUCCUUCUUCAAACCCAAGCAGCCUCAGUAAUUCAGUUGCUGUGGCAUCAGACGGAAAGGAAUCAUCACUCUUUUGGUGAAUUUCAUUGAGUUGUAAUACAUCUAAGCCAAUCAGCUUCCCGAAAGAAGUCAGAGAAGAACUGUCCGUUACUAAAGCAGCCUUGAUUCCCAUAAACCUGCACCAUAAUACAUUUGUGUCAGUGACAUUAUUGCAAGAAAAUAGCAUCAUCAUGUGGAUGUUACCGGCCAUUGAUUACCGAAAAAGACUAUUAAAACUAUACAGAUCAGAGAAAAGAAAAGACAAAACCUUUCGGACAACGUUGAGACUUCAUUUUCACUUCCAUUAGCUUUUAAUCCACUCUGUUAUCGAAAAAAAAAACACUCGUUAUUUCGUUAACCUCUAGUGUCUGAAUAAAACUAUUUAAGCACAUGUAUCAAUAAUACACGCUCAUAACGUUGAUUAUCUGUGUAAAGUUAUUGUUAUUGAGAGAGUGAAGAAUCUAUCUCACGGCUAAAGUAUAAGCUUCUGAUGCAUCAAGCAAAUGAGCAAACUCUCGAACUAUUCUUUCGUCCUCAGUUUCUGCUGUAACGGAACAACACAGCAGAGUAAAUAUCUAGUAGCAGAACAGCAAAAGAAAAUAAAUUCGAUUCUAUGUGGACUUCAAUGCAAGAGAGAAUGAAAAUUCAUGUGGAAAUGAAAUAAAUCCAAAUGCACUUUCGCAACCCUUGUCGGAAAGUUUCGGUCUUUUAAUCCAAUGGAUCGUAAGUGCCUCACAGAAUCAAAGGUAAGGGAGAGAGAGAGAGAGUGAGAAACCUGGAGGUGCAUGAGGAAGGCUCAAGAAGCCGCAAGUACCGACGGAAGCGAGAGAAUGGAUGUGCGUAUUCGACGGGUCGACGGAUCGAGCCGAGCCGUCUCCGUACAAAACAAGUGCUCUGCUUGGUUUGUCAGCCAUUCUUGUCAACAGGUGGUAGACACGAAAGUAUUGUCGGAGAGAGAGAGGGGAGUAGUCUGAUCCGAUGAUGAUCGUCUUCCCUGAAUAGGAUACUUGUUUCUUAAUUCCCGGUUUACCUUUUCGGUCCGGUUUUAAAACAUUAAUUUUAACGAAUUUGGGCUUUAUAUUGUAACGAAUAUGCAUAAGGUAUCAAUAACCCAGUGUAAUCUAACAUGAUAAUUGGGGGCCUUUGAUGAAAGUUCUUUGACGACCAAAACAACAUGAAAUUUAACAGAUAGGCUGAUUAAGUAAUGCGUGAAACUGUAAACAAAUGCGGGCAUGAAGUAAUAAAUAGCAAAGAGGAAAGAGUUUCUCUCUCUCUCUCUCUUCUCUCUGUUCUCUAUCCAAAUCUUUCACAGAGAAAGAUGAGGGAUGAAACCUUUUUGGUCGCCGGUUCUCUUCCGGCUUCUCUCUCGCUUGUCGGGCUUUUGAUUUCAGGAAGUAGUGGCUUUCAUAGCUCUUACUUCGCCGGCUUUCGACUCUGAGAUACGGCGCCGACUUAAUCCUGAUCUUUUCCGGUUGAAAUUUGAUUGUCGCUUCUCGUUAUGCAUCGCUCAUUUGUCUCUCGAUCUAGCUCUUCGAUCCUUUCUUCUCCUCCGUUUUGAGUUUGUUUCACCUUCAAACUUACUCUAUUCAUUAAAGGUGACCGAUUAUUCAUUCAGAAUUCUCGAUGUGAUUAGAUCGAUUGUAGGCGUUUGUUCUCUUCUGUGAUGAAGCUUCGAUCUGUCAGUCUACGCUUUUGGCUUCGUUGUGAUUCGCCUCUGUUGGCGGAGCUCCGUCGCCGUGCCUCUUUGCUGACUCAGGUGGAAGACGACGGUUGGAUUUCUUAACGUGUUUCAUGCAUCGUUUGUCGACCGAACAUGUGGUGGAUGACUAAUCAACUCUUCCUCAACGGAUUUCUUCUUGCUGGACUUAUGGCCGCAAGCUGUUUCGUUUAGUUGGGUUUUUUGGGCUUUAUGCUAGUUGGACCUUGUGUUGGGUCUUAGUUUAUUCAAUAUUUGCCUAUUUGGGUUUCCUUUGUAUCUUUACUCUUGUUUAAUAAAAUACUAGUUGUAAAAAAAAAACAAAUAAAUAAGUAGUGUGUGAAAUUUAUCCACAAACAAAAUAAUAAUAUGUGCAAAUCUGAAAGUAUGAGAUAUUUAUACGUUUGAAAACAUAAAACCAAAAAGAGACAUUGAUUAUGGCGUGGAAUUUCCCAAAAAUAGUUGAAAAUAUGCAAGAUGUGUUGUCCUAAUCGAAAUCAAUAAUUAGAUGUGUGUGUAGCCAAUCUAACCCCCAUCAUUCCUCUACCACAUGGUGCAGUUUGUAUAAUACAGAAAAAAAAAAGUCACAAACUUCCCAAAUUAAAUUUGAAAUAAUACAGAUGUAUAUAUAUAUAAGACCAUCUUUAUCUUUAGAUGUAUGGACUAAGUUGUUGACCAUUGCACUUGCAAUCUCCUUUUUCUCUAUUUCCCCGCUCUACUCUCUCUCUCCCACUUGCGCACAGUGCAUCACGGAAACGACCUUUCCCCCUUAACCACCCCGUGACGGUGUUUAAACCGGUUCCGGUUCAAUCAAGCCAGAUUCAGUUCUGCCAUGGUGGAAGGAGGAGGAAGAAGAAGAAGAUCCUUUCUCUCCUUUGAACUCGCUCUCCUCUCUCUCUUCCUCUGCUUCUCCAUCGCCUCUCCCCGCGCUCUCCCUGAUUCGGAUCUGAAUCUGUUAGAAGAAACCGUCGGCAACUCCUCCUCCGACUCAGCAUAUCUCAACGCUUCUUCUCUUGGUAAACCCAAGGAAGGUAGCUUCGCCGACAUCAUCGAUCGCGCUCUCGAGAAGGAGUUCAACGAAAGCGAUCAGACUGAAGGUAGUAUCCGAGAAUCUAGGAAGCUGAAGUAGCUAUAGAUACUAGUAGUAUUAAAAGCUUCUCCACUAGUGUUUGAUUAGAUAGAUCCUGAGCUGGAUCCGUGAUCUAUAGAAGAUUCGGAACUUAGAUUGAUCACGAUCUAACAAUGUGGAAUAGUAUGAUUCUUCUAGAUCGAGAAUACAUCAACAACGAGAUUUAGUUUCUGAUUCGUUCCCUGUAGUGGAUCUUAUCGUAUCAGCCUUUGCUUUUAGAAAGGUGAAAUAAUCUUUUAUCUUGUGGUUAUUAUAUCAAUGGCAGUGGCUGAUCCUGGAAGCUUCAACAACAGUGUAGCUGGGCAGCAGGUUGGUAUAAUGCAGUGGCUGAUGUAUAGCUAUUAUGUAUAAUAUCUCUCAUUCGUUGCAUAAUUCGAGUAAUCUGAAUCUGGACCGUACCUUGUGGUGAUCAGGCUGUUCUGGAAACUGUAGCCAGAGUAAAGACAACCAAGAAAAAUGAGACGAAAGAGGACAAGUACACACUAUUCGAUUCUUGUUUUUUUUGUUCCUUUCUAAAAGUUUCUUUAUCUUCCAUAAUGUUCCCGAGUUGAAUACUUAUUAAGCGUUAUCUAAUCUUCCGUAGGCAUUUUCAACUCCAUGAUGUUUUCAACCUGGACAAUGAUAACAGAGCUGAGGACACACCUACUCUGAUUGAUCGAAAAGUAAGUUUUCAUACAGGAAGACAGAGACUGGUUUUAGUUUUAUUUCGAUCUUACGUUGAAAUUUUGGUGUUGUUACAGGACAAUGUCUUCAUCAUAUCCAAUUUCAAAUCGAAAUAUCCAGUACUGCAGCUAGACUUGAGGUGAGUUAGUAAUUUCUGUUCGGGAUGAUUCUUUGAAAAAAACAGCUAUGAAUUAUUCAUCUGAUCUGUACUUCUUCGGUUUAUGUAGACUGAUAUCAGACCUGGUGGUUGUCAUUGUAUCUGCAACUUGUGGUGGUAUCGCCUUUGCUUGUGCUGGGCAGCCGGUCUGAUUUUCUUGCUACUCGUAGUCUUCAUCAUUAUGAAUUUAGGUUUCAGUAUGAUGUAUUGAUUUAUUGAUUGUUUUGGAUCAUUAUAUGCUUAUGCAGGUGAUAACUGGAUAUUUGCUAGCAGGAUCUAUCAUCGGGCCUGGAGGAUUGAACUUAAUCAGUGAGAUGGUCCAGGUAUGCUAGGUGUUGGACAGGUUACUUUUAAGGUCUCGAAUGUUUAGUUAGUUGAGCAUUAUUUCAAGAACUUUCUUUUUCCGAUGAUCUUUGACUAAGAUGUUAUACAAAACAGGAAUACUGAUUUGUUUUUUGACUGGGAACCUUUUCUUCUGUGGGUCAAUAUAAAUUGGGUUCUUCUCAUGUGAUAGUGGAUGGAUAAGAGAGACCCUAGAUCGUUUUCAAGGCAAAUUAAGUUUUACGAGUGUCUAAGUUUAGCAAUAGACUGCUGUGGAGAUGAUGUAUUCAUAUUCGUUGUUGUUUUUGCGCAUGGUAAUUUAUGCAGGUUGAAACAGUCGCCCAGUUUGGUGUGGUAUUCUUGCUCUUUGCAUUGGGUCUAGAGUUCUCCACUGCUAAGGUGAGAUCAACGUCUUUGAUUGCUUAAUAAUGAAUUGACAUAUUAACAUAACAAGCUCGUGGGCACCUUUCCUCUUACUUUGUAGCUUCGAGUUGUUCGAUCAGUUGCUGUUCUGGGAGGCCUUCUUCAAAUUCUUCUUUUUAUGUUCUUGUGCGGAAUCACAGUGUCGGUGCGUUAAUUUGUACUUUAUUCUGUACAUUUUUUUUAUGUUGAUUAAAGUGUAGUCUUAGACACUUGUAUUAGACGUAUACACCCUGAAUCGUUUCCAGAGAGUGAUAUGUUUUCAAUGGGUCAUGUUUGCAGUUAUGUGGUGGUAAACGGUCGGAGGGGGUAUUUGUAGGAGCAUUUUUGUCAAUGUCAUCAACUGCAGUGGUAAUUUUAAUGUACUAUAUAUUUUUUUAUCUAUCCAUUUCCGAUAGCUCUGUUUUUGAUAAUUUGGUUUUAUGUUCAUGAACUACAGGUGCUGAAGUUUCUCAUGGAGAAAAAUUCAACCAAUUCUCUUCAUGGCCAAGUUACAAUUGGAACCCUUAUUCUUCAGGUAUCUGAUUAUACUUUCCAUCAACAUGUUGUGUCCAUUGUCUUUCUUGAAUUUUCAAAUGAUUUGGAGUUUUGAUUUUAGCAUCUUUUUCUAGGACUGUGCUGUGGGUUUGUUGUUUGCUUUGCUUCCAGUUCUUGGUGGAAAUUCUGGCAUUGUUGAGGGAAUGUUGUCAAUGGCAAAAGUGUAAGGAAAGACUGUUAGAAUUUACCUCCCAAGUCGUUUUCUAAAGAUGUUAAUAAUGCCUUCUCUCUUUAUUAUUCAGGGCGGUUGUGUUACUUUCGUUUUUGGCUGUUCUGUCAAUAUUAUCACGGACAUGUAUUCCUUGGUUGCUGAAGUUAAUGGUCAGCUUAUCAUCACAGGUUUCAUGACUUUUCUCUCAAGACUAUUUUUCAUAUCUUCUGUUCCAGUGAAAUCCAGUUUGUAGAUUAAGCUAAAGUUUUUUUCAUCUAUCAGACAAAUGAACUCUAUCAGUUAGCCGCGGUUGCGUUUUGUCUACUCGUAGCCUGGGUGAGUCCUACUUAGCCUUCCUUUUCUUUAGUUUCUUUCUUACAUAAAGUUUAUUACCUUCUUUUAUUUUUAUCUGUGAGAACUAUUAUUUGACUGGUCUUUUUACGUUUUCAGUGUAGUGAUAAGCUGGGAUUAAGUCUUGAACUAGGUUCUUUUGCGGCAGGGGUCAUGAUAUCAACUACGGAUCUCGCUGAACAUACAUUGGAGCAAGUAAGUUCUAAUCAUGUAUUUCCAAAAAGACUGCAGUUUCCCCUGUUUAUGCGAAAUAUUUUCAUCUGCUUGAGUCUCUUUCUUCUCCCGUGACUGUACUUAGUGUUGUCACUGAUGGCGAGGAAGUAAUCAGUUGACAAGUAUCCGAUGCUAACCCCUUAAACAGUUUAUAGUCUUACUCAAAUGCUUUCUCUUUUUGGUGCAGAUCGAACCCAUCCGUAAUUUGUUUGCUGCACUUUUCCUAGCCAGCAUUGGGAUGUUGAUUAAUGUCCAUUUUCUGUGGACCCAUGUGGAUAUACUGUUAGCCUCUGUGAUAUUAGUAAUCAUCAUAAAGACAACGAUAGUGACAACAGUUGUCAAGGGAUUUGGUUACAACAACAAGACAGCUCUGCUGGUAAAACAUUAUGUCUCAAAUUAUACUCGUGACCAUGUUUGCUUCCGUGCACUUUCUGCUUCACAAGACCUAAGUUAAAUUGAUGCAGGUUGGACUAUCUCUGGCUCAGAUAGGGGAGUUUGCCUUUGUAUUACUUAGCCGUGCCUCCAAUCUCCACCUUAUCGAGGUAAGUAAUACAACUGCUUCUCGUUAGGAUAUGAAUUGAGAUUAUUAGAAUAUCUGAAGAAAGAAGUUUUGAAACAUUAUCAGGGGAAACUCUACUUGCUUCUCCUGGGGACAACCGCUCUUAGCCUGGUAUGAUCAGAUCAUUUCCGCUUGCCUCCUCAGUCCUCCCUACUUAUAUGUGUUUCAAGUAGCUGAUUGGGUUUGGUAUGUGCAGGUUACAACACCUCUGGUUUUCAAAGUGAUACCAGCGGUUGUGCAUCUUGGAGUACUGUUAAGAUGGUUUUCGCCAGACUCUUCUAUAGAGGUAAGUUGGGUCUCCAGAGUAGUUCUUUCAUCGUUUUAUGUAAUAAUGACAGGUAAAUAACAAAAGAGAUGGUUAUGGUUUAGGGCAGAAAGGAGAAAUAGUAAGAUCAGAAAGCGGUAAACAGCGGAUGAUACUGAUGUCACGCCAAUCCCACAACUCCUGAGAAGAAAGAUUUGUGGAGAAGAAGAGUGGUGUCAUGCUUCUCCACCAAUUUUGACAACAACAAAAAAAAAAAAAAUUGUUUGCCUCCUGCUCUGCCCUCACUUGUAAUUAGUAUUGUUUGAUUUUUUUUUGCCCCUUGAUUGUAAUCUGAUUAAAAAAAUUCAAUCAGUAUUUCUUAUCACGAUACCAGAAACUGGCCAUUUUUUUUGUUGUAAUCAUAUAACUCUCUAAUAUCAAGUAAUUGUUAUAUUUUGUCAGACGUCAAAUUUAAGAAAAUGAAAUGUAAAACAUUCGUACUCUUCGAACUGAAUCCAACACACAACUCUAUACAUUUUAGGGAAAUAAUUCCUUUUUUUUUUUUGGUCAAAGAAAGAAGUAAAUCACAGAAGAGUCAAAUGUGACUUUUCGAUGCUGGAGAUGGAAGACGAUUCAAAGACACUGCUGGUCUAUAAAAGGACUUCAAGAGUUUACGAUUUAAAGAUCCACAAUAGUAGUUUUCUUUUGGUUAAGUAAAUCCUAAAACUUAUAAAGUGACUUGUUAAGAUCUCUAGACAACAAUUAUUACUUCAGCAGCGUUCUUACAUUUCGACCAUAUGUAGGGUUUCAUGCAAAGCCGAUUUUUCAGCACUCAUAGCUCCAUGUCUGAAACUCCAACCUCAGUAGCAUUCACCAAACGAUCCGAGAAUACAAAAGGUUGCAAUCUUGACUUCUCUUGAAAGUUGUUGGGUCUAUGCUUGAAGAGCUUCGUUUUCGUUUCUCCCUCCUUAUCAGGCCUCUCUUCUUUACGUUUUCUUGUGCUGCUGCUGAUAACUGAGAUAGAUGACACAAUGUGAUCAUCAGCCAUGUCUGCAUCUUGAUCAACCCCAACUUGUUGUUUCAGAGUGACAUCUGGUCUUGACCAGUGAACCACUGUUUUGGCGUAAUUCUUGGAGUGGUCACAGUCAAAAACCCUUACUCCUUGCUCUUCAAGCGAUAAAAGCCAUUCUGGAAAUCAGAUUUUGCACAAUGGGUUAGUCAAGACCGACAUAAAAGCUCCAAAAACAGAUGGGAACCUAUCUAUAUCUUAAAGAUAGAGGAAGCAAUUUACCGAUGAAGGAUACAGGCGUAGAGUUUAGCAGUGUGUCUGCAUCUCUAAUCACUUCACCUUGACUGAUCACCCAGUUGACCAAGUGAUAUGGUAUACGUGAACUGGAGAACAUGUUCAUGUACCUACUGGUUUCCUCUUGAUCUUCAGUUUUCCUGUGUGAUCGUUUGGAGUAUCAAGCAAAACAAUCAAGUAACCAAAAGCAACUACUUUUUAGUAACCAAAUAACUCUACGCAUACCUAAUAGAAGCCUUGGCAAAAAGAAACAACCAGUUGAUAGCAACGUUCUUCAACUGUAAACUCCUUUGAUCAUUUCCACUUCCAGGGUUUAGGAAUAGACUCUCCGCCGAUUCAAUCACAGCUUCCGUUACGGUUUCAAUUAAAGCAGCUUCGUCUUCUGGGCCCUGUAAGAUUUGAAAAGCUUCCCAUGAAAACAUAACUCAAUUCUUUGUUACACACAGUAUGAUUCAACAAAGCAACUCCACACAGUUUUAUAAAUGAAGAACAUUAAUUAAAGAAGAGUAGAAACAAUGUUUAGCUAAAGAACCUACCAGUAGUGGAGUCAGAUGCAGAUAUGGCUCCACCAGAAGCAUCUUGAGAAUGCCAUCUGUGUCAAAGAUCAAGAAACCAUCACAUCACACUACAACAACUCUCCAUAGAAAGCAAAGACUCACCAAAGAAGUAGCAACUAUGGAAGGCAUUGAUCAUCUGAACCACAGACUCUCGCAGAUCUUUUCGUAUCUCCCCCGAAUCAAACCUCAAGCACAAAUUGAGCAAAAGAAGCUGAGAAGCUACGAUUCCAGCUAAGCAACCAACGCUACAAGACUCAGAACCAACCUCUCUCCGCAAUCUUUCACCAACAAACGGCAUGAACAUCUCCAAACAAUCACCCACUCCCACUUCAUCCACAACCCAAACUCGAUUCAAAUCAGCAAAACUAAACCCAGUCACCAUCAACAAAUCAUCCUCAUCCUCACCACCACCACAACCUCCUCGUUCUUCAUCUCCGCAAUACGCGCUAACGUAGCUCACAAUCGCAUCCAACAGCUCCGAAACCUCUUCCUUCCUAGUCUUAACCAACCGAAUCAGAUUGUAAACGAGAGGAGACAGCGUAGCCGCCCUCUUCGCGCCGGAGAAGGACUCGGAGAGAGGGACCAGCAUCUGGAAGAGGCUCCUGGUUAGCCUCACGGAGUCUUCGCCGAAAUCUUGCUUCGAGGAGUGGAAGACGACGGCGGAGUAGAACCAGAGGAGCUCGAGAGGCGGAUCGGGACGGUGGUCUUGGAGGAGGCGAGUGAAGAUGGAUUCGAAAUCGGAGAAAUCGGUUCGGCCCGUACGGUGCUGUGCCAAGAACUGCUUGGUCGAGUCGGUGAGAAGCGGUUUGAGAAACUCGAGGCGAGGGUUAGGGUUACGAAUCGGAGGUUGCAUUUUUCCGUUAACGGUGAGGGAGAAAGGAGUUUGAAUUUGUUGAAAGAAAAUAGAAAAAAGCCCUUUCGAAUAAAGAGAGGGAAUCGGAAGGAAAAUGUUGUAUCUUUUUUUAAAACAAUCUGAAAUUGAGUUUCGAUCCAAAAAGUAUUCGCAUUUUAGUUCUUAACCUCGGAAACUAUUCUCUAAUUAAAAUAUUAGUAUAAGUUUGGGUUUUACAUUUUAGAAAAAUAAUAAUAGUCGUAUGUCAUAUUUAUCACCCAAAACAAGAGGAUUUCUACUUUUUAGGCCAAGAUCCACUGGUCUUAAUCCAAAAAUAUAUUGAAUCCAAAAGCCCAAAAUACAUACCAGAAAUGGAUGAUCUGAUUUUUAUUCGAUUGGCUUACAUGGUCUUAUUCAAAUCCAAAUGAAAAUGAUUAAGAACAUACAAAUAACUAAUUAUGAUGAUGAUCUUUAUAUUUAUAAUGCAUUUUAAAAUUAUUAUGCUGCGGACAAAAUCUGGUAUAUUUAGUGUAAUUGUCUUAAUCCAAAUCUAAAAGGCCAAAACUUCUUGAUUAAUAAUAGGUCAUACAAACUUUUUUUUGCUAGCCUAUAAAACUUUUGUAGAAAAAACGUGGUUAAUCUUCACUUCUAAAUUAAAGUUCAAGUAGUCAAUGUUUAUACUGAAAUUGUGUGUUAUAUAUUAUAAAAUCUUCAUAAUAGUAAUAUAUUUGAUUAGUAGAAAAGAUAGAAUAAAAAUUGACAUGGAAGCAUCCUAUUCUAUUGAUUAAGGUUUAAAAACUUAUACAUCUAAGUUUGGGGUUCGAAUCGCAGACUAUAAAAUUUCUUGCAGAUUAUAAGAUGCAAAACUUUCAGAGUUUCCAGAGUAAAGCAGAACCGUUCGUUGUGAUCCAACUGCUGUGGUGAGAGCCCGUCCAUCGAGAAUGUCGUAUAUGGAGAACCGUCUGUGUUUUCAAGUGUUUUGGGAAGAACUUCAUCGUGGAAUCAUUAUUCGUGGAGCUGUUCAUCGAUAGGGUUAAAAAAUAUCGUAUAAAAAUUGAUUAAUCAGUGUAAAAAGGUAAGAAACAAAAGGUUAGGCUGUGGUAUAUGAUAAGAUAGUUAUGUAUACCUGUUUUUAGUUAAAUGUUAUAAGACUCGCCUGGUUAUCACAACUCCACGAAAAACUCAGAAAAUCAAAAUGGCCAUGAUUACGCGCAACACCGCCACGCGCCUCCCUCUCCUCCUCCAAUCUCACCGCGCCGCAGCCGCGGUCUCUCACCUCCACACAUCGCUUCCCGCUCUCUCCCCCGCGACGACACCGACUUCCUACACCAGACCAGGCCCUCCUUCGACCUCCGCUCCUCCGCCGGGUCUCUCGAAGACGGCGGAGUUCGUGAUCUCAAAGGUAGAUGAUCUGAUGAACUGGGCCCGUAGGGGAUCGAUCUGGCCCAUGACCUUCGGGCUCGCCUGCUGCGCCGUGGAGAUGAUGCAUACAGGUGCGGCUCGCUACGAUCUGGACCGAUUCGGAAUCAUAUUCAGGCCGAGUCCUCGCCAAUCGGAUUGUAUGAUUGUCGCCGGGACGCUUACUAACAAGAUGGCUCCCGCUCUUCGCAAGUAACGCCUCUCUCCCUUUCCUAUGAAAUGAUAUAUAAUCUCCGCUUGAUUUGUUCGUUUGCCUUGUUAUGCUUGUUGAUAGAAGCCUCAAAUUAGGGAUUUCAGGAGAUUGUGAUUGUGAUUUGGGGUUCAUGUGUCAAAGUGAGAGUUUUUAUAUGAAUAAUAAGAGUUGCCUGGGAAGCCAUACCGUUCGUAUUCAUUGUCUAGCACAGAUUUUUUGAAGUUUUUGGUUCAAAGUCAUGAACUUGAGUAGGCAUACUAGGCAGGAGUCAUAUCUCUUUUAAUGUUAUCUGUGUGCUUGUCUUUUGUGGGGAGAUGAAAAAAAAAAUCAGAUUAUCUAGCUUGGGGGAGAAUAUGGGUUAGAGUUAGUUAUCAUGGUUGGAUUUAGCAAAAUUGGUCUUACUAAUUUGAGGUAGGAGAUUCAUUGUUAUAGUGUUUUGUUUUACUUAAUUUUGUAGCUCCUUCUGCUGACUGUUUAGUAUCUUGCUUGGUGAAUUUUCUUUGUUCUCUUUGAGACCUGAUGUCUAUCUUAUUGCGAGGUGUGUUGUUAUGGAAAAUUGAUACAUCUUAUUUUUCUUGUUUGAUGUUAUGAAGCCUUCAUUCAACUGCAUUGCGUAUCUUCUUUUAAUGGGAAUGUAAUGAUGCUGAGCUUAUACGUUUGAUGUCUUUAGGCCCCAAACGCUAUCCCUACUCAUAUCACGACAAGGAACCCUGGGUUCUCAAAACAUCAAUCACCGAGACGAGAAAGUUUUAGAUGCAUUUCGAGAGAGAUGAUUGAUAGCUUUAUAAGUCGUUUGUCUAGAUUGGCUCUAAAUUAUGCUGAGUAAAGUAUUAGCGAACUAGCAUUUUGACCAAAAAAAAAAAAAAGAAAUAAGUUCAAAUCCAUUCUUCAAGCUACCCACAAAAUCAGUGUAGGAUCUAAUAGAAUUAGAGAAGAUUUCUCUGUGGAUCAGUUCGAAUGUCUUAAAGCUUUUGUUCUUGUUUAUACUGUUUGAAGAAGUUGCUAGUUUUCUAAUAUCUGGAAACAAUGACAGGGUGUAUGACCAGAUGCCCGAGCCAAGGUGGGUGAUUUCAAUGGGAAGCUGUGCCAACGGGGGUGGAUACUACCACUACUCCUACUCGGUCGUUCGAGGGUGCGACAGAAUUGUGCCAGUGGACAUAUACGUCCCUGGGUGCCCUCCAACAGCUGAGGCUCUGCUCUACGGACUCCUCCAGCUUCAGAAGAAAAUCAACAGGCGCAAGGAUUUCUUGCACUGGUGGAACAAGUGAACAAGUGACCAAAUCCUUCUUCCUAUGUUGAAGAAGUUUGUAUCAGACAAUUCUUUUACCAAAGUUUGGGGCUAAUAAAACGUGGACGUUUCAAAAGCAUGUUUCUUUGUGGUGGAGAUGCCAUGUAAAGGAUUGCGUUUCUAAGUUUGUUUUGUGGAAACUUAAAUAAACAUAAAGUUAUGUUGUCUGAAUGAGUUACUUUUGUUAUAUCUACCAGUUAACAGCUAUUGAUUCCUACCUACUCUUGUCAAAUCGCCUGUGUAUGUGUAAUGUGCAUAGAGCAGCCCUUUUGUUUUAUCUUAUUAAUAAGGCUAUUGAUCGUUCGGGCCCGUUAGUGUUUUUCUCUGUUGCUUCACACAUCCUGGCUUGUGCUAAUCACACAUCAUUUCUUUAUGGUUUUAGGUUGAUUCGAGCUUUGUGUGUAGUAACUAACCAAGACUUAUUGGAGCAAGUAAGAGGAAUAAAAGGAUCCAUCAUUAUUCAAAUACACAGGUUCACAAUAUGUGACGUAAAGGCCAAUUCGUCACCAAAAAAAAAAAACAACCCUCAAAGACACUGUUUAAGGGAGUAAACUACCCUGUUUAUGUGAAUGAGUGAUUAUUAAGAUGCUCUAAUGCUUCUUGAGAGCGUUCAUCUUGUCCCUGAGGUAAUAAAGUUUGGCUCUUCUUACUCUCUUCUUGUCUAACACCUUAAUCUCCCUCAGGUUUGGCGAAUACCUGUCACCAAACACCCCCACCUCUCACAUAUCAGCAGUUUUUCUCAUGAAAGGAGCCUUGCUUUGCUAUUGCUCAUGAGGCUCACAGAAUGUAAAUCAAUCUUUGCCAUUAGCACAAAGGAGAGGGAGGGUGCAAAAGGUUUAAAAGUACUUACAAGGGGAACAUGGAUUCGACUCCCACCCCAGCCACAAGCCUUCUAAUCCUAAACGUAGAGUUAAGACCAGCGUUACGUCUUGCUAUCACAAUUCCUUUUACGAUUGAAACACGCCUCUUGUUCUCAGGCACUUCCUGUUUCAAACAAGACAAUUUCAACAAAUUCUAAUGAAUGGUUUAGCCUUUUGAAGAUAUAUUUUCGAUCCCAUUCUCAGUAGAGUAUUUUACCACUUUGAGCUGAACAAUGUAACCAGGCCUUAUCUCAGGUAUUUCCCUACCAUUUCUAACUGCCUCAACCGCCUCCUUGUCUACAAUCUGCAGAAGAUUGCAACUUUCUUAAUUUAAUUAUCAAUGACCAAUCGUCAAAGUUGGGAGUUGUACCUGCAUGAUAUGUUUGGCGGUUUUAUCAAGCCGCUUGAACUUGAUUCUCGGAGGCAAAUCAGGAGCUGACACAGAGAAUCCUUGAGGAGUAGAUUGAAUAGAAUCUCCAACGGUGGAAAAGCAUCUCGAUGCAAACGUAAAGUUUUGUCUCUGAGAAACAUAGCCAAAUCACCAUAAAAAUUCAGAGAGUGUCUCAAACACAAAGAAGCCUAAUCUAGAAGAUAUCACUGUGACCCCAAACAUGUCGAGAAUCUACAAAGCACAAAACUUUAUCACUCCUUUCUCUGUAUCUACACAACCUUUACUACCAGACGAGAGAGGCGCAUCACUAGAUAUAUCAACGAAUAUUUCAAGAAGAUAAAAACAAGCAUUGAUGCUGUUUAGGACAAUGAAACUUCACCUAUUUAUCAUCAUACAAUUCUCACAUAACGAAUCUAAGCUAAAUAGACAAACCCAAGAGCAAAGGUUCCGUUUUUAACACUAAAUAGCAGUGGCUAGCUUACGGGUACUGGGGAAGAUAAAGAAACCGCCUUUGUCAGCGAGCUAAUGAGAUACUUCGCUGCUGAAUCAAACCCUCCUAGCCUCCUCGAUUCAUUUUCAGACAAGCUUGGGGAAGACGAAGUGAAACGUGAAAGAGUGUUGGAGAUAUAGACACUGUUCCUCUGAAGCGACCUUGUACUGCUACGAAUCGAUUGCAUUUCUCCGACAAGAAGGCUUGAUUUGGAAGUUUUGCCCAGAUAUUUGGCGGAGUUUGAGCUGAGCCUAAACACUCGCUUUCUCCUCCAGGGUUACGUUUUCCAUUUCCUCCUUUUCUUUAUUAGUAAUUGGCAUAUGACCCCUGAUGUUUUAAGUCCCCUUUUAUUUUGUUUCUUACUAUCUUCUUUAGUUGUUUUUUUGAUGUGAUUAAAGAACCAUAGAGUGAUCAAAUAAAAUUCAAAUAUAAACAUAUGAAACACGCUAAUAACAAAAUGUUUAGUGAAAUUGUCCUCAAAAAUAAUGAAAGAAGAAGCAUCCUUUUAUUUACCAAUCUGAUGGAGAGUGUGACCAAAGAGAACAUUUGUCAACAAAGAAAAAUCUUUUGGAGUAUUACCAUGAAAGGAACUGAUACUUGCUAAGUUCUAGACAAAACUAUAAAUUUUACUUGAAUCAAACAAAAAACUAACUAAUUAGAUCAAAGUGUUUGCAGAAACUUAAUCAUCCGGUUUCUUUUGAAGACUCAAAACCCAUGUUCAUGUGACUCUACUGCAUCAUUGCAUGUCGCCUUGUCAUCAUAGCAGUCAAAGAUGAUAUCAAAGACCGACUACUCUUACCGUUAACAUAACGACUCUUUUUUCUUUCUUUUGGUUGAUGGAAUGUUGUUAUCUUUAUUUCAAGGAAUACUAACUUUUUUCAUUGAAAAUAACAACAGGGGUGACCUACCUACAAAAUAAAGGCACCAAUCAUGAGGCAAAUACAUUCAACUAAACCUAAAAAAACAGACGGUGAAUCAUGUGAACAUAGAAUUUUUGCAUUUAAAUUGGAUUAAUGGCGUAAAAAUGCGAUAGGUUGAGAUGCGCGUAGCCAGUUAGGAGGGUUUGGGUGGGACAGUGUGGAACGUUGAUUAGGGAGGAUAUUGACUAUGUUGCAGAAUCACACAUUCUAUUAUCACAACACGUUACAUGUAAAUAAAUGCAAACUAUUUCGAUACUAAUCAACGGUUGACCAUUCUUCUCACGGCUUCAACUUUUCAUUUCAAUCAGAACGAAGUCAUCAACUUUCCUUAUCACCAAAUAAAUUCCCAACUAUUUUUCUCAAUUCCGACCAAAACUGGCAUUCAUCACGAAAACUACUUCGUUAACAUCAAUGUUCUUUGCCGUUUGUGUGAUUAGAAAAAUAAACACGCCUAUGAAACUAAAAAAUAGCACUGGUAAAUGUCUGGGGCUGGUGAAAGAAGAAAUUGAAUUUCCGUCAGGGACCUCUUUGUAAAGUCGUUACCUCAAUUUUCUACGGACUCCAAACGAAACGCUCAACUUUUUUUCAUAUAUCGAUUUCAUUCUUCCAUUUAUUGAUUUUUACACGCAAACGUGACCGCAACUUCCAAAACAAUGUCCAGGUUUACACAACCUUCUUUGGAAAUGCGUUUUGCUAAAACACGAGAGAUGGAAUUCAAAAAGUUUCAGACAAAUAAAAGUUAGAUGUUGUCGGGUCUAAAAAUUGAACAACGCAUGCAGCUACCGAACCUAACAGCUAAACGAUCUCGAUUCAGAUUUCAGUAUUUCACCAAAAACAUAAAUCGAAUUCAAGUGACAAUCAUAAUUAGAAUUAGAUUUUAGUUAAAUUUGGGCUGUAGUGAUUCGAUUUGGAGUAUAUAAUGCGAUUAUUGUGAAACAAGCUCGUAUAAUCGUAAUUGUAAGCAGAGGAAGUUUAAUAAACCGAUUAUGUAAAGAACGAGAAAGAUAUAAACUGAGAAACAUCAGAUCCAUAAAUAAAUAGAAUAAGAGUCACAUCAAAAACCAUAGUAGAAACACACAAAACCACAAUACUCUAGAUAUAAAUAUAGUACCCUCAUACAGAUAUGAAGGUAUUAGAUAAUAGAAAAAUAGAAAGAGAUCUAUAUAGCUCCUGAAUACACACGAACAUCAUGAAUAAUAAUAAUGCUAUACCCGAUCAACUUUUUUUUUCAAAAAUACGAAUCUCCAUCGCAAAGACUUAGAUCCUAAGAGCAGACCCGAAAACAAGAGCUGCGACGGCUGCAACUCCAGCUGAAACGAUCGACGGCGAGAAAGCAGCAGAUCCGGACGUAGGGCUUGGGGCUGGAGCCUCGACUUGAGCGGAAGCGACGGUAGCUACGACGGAGACGAUCACCGCGACGAGAGCAACGACGGAAGACUUUGAGAACGCCAUUUGUGGUUAGACAGAGAAGGGAGAGCUUUUUUUGUUGAUUCGAAAAUGCUAAAAGCUUAGAAAGGUUUUUUCACAGUGUUGAGAAUCAAUGCGAUGAUGAAGUGUUUAUAAAGAGGCUGAGCUGCCCGGUUUAGCUGACCGGCUUUUGCAACAUUAGAAUCCAGCUGGACCACCUGCGGGUCCCGCGAAUCGUGUUCAUCGACGGCUGGUUUCCCAACGCGUGUUCACUGAGAUCUCGACAGGCUAUCUCUCCGUUACGGCGCCGUUUGGAAGAUAUUUAUUCUGCAAAACCGAUAUACUCACCGAAGCGCGUGCAUCUAACUCUCAACCCUAGGAAGGCACAACGGUCGGUGAGAUGGUUAGUUUGGCGCGUGAAGAAUAUGAUGAGCUGUCUAUUUUCUUACAGCUCACGCGGGUUCCGGGAAGGAAACGGACAAGAUGCGCAGUCUUGGUCCACAUGGUGGUGGUGGUGUAACGGCUAAUGCUUAUGAGCUUUUAAAAUACGUAGACAUGUGUAGAACUACUGAUUUUAAUUUU